rnacentral:lncRNA from 1 species
UUCUUUUUGCUUUAACCACACUGAAAAGAUGGGGUUGAGAAUGUGAUUUUGCUCUUCUUGAUUCAAACCAGAGAAAGAUUAGAUUUGAUCUCGGAGUUUCUUGAUGACACUUUGAUCUAAGUUGCUUGAAGGGGAUUCUUUUUCUCCUUUGUGGUUUAGAUUAAGGUAGAGAGUAAUGUCGAGCUCUUAUCAACAUUUUUCAUGGUUUGAGGCUUGAAGAACAUUCACGUUUUUCAAGCUCACUCAUGUGGACAACCUUGGCCCUUGUCUGAGAAGCAGCUUUUUCUCAUAUUCAGUUUUUCUAAAUUUGUUGUUUUAAAAAAAAAAAUUGGUUUGUUUUUUUGGCUGUUCUAUGAUGAUUAUAUUGCUUUAACCACACUGAAAAGAUGGGCUUGAGAAUGUGAUGUGGUUCUUCUUGAUUUAAUCCAAAGAAAGAGUUCUUGAGCUAUAUGUAUUGCUUGAUGACACUUUGAUCUAAAAUACUUGAAGGGGAUUUGUUUCCCUUUGUGUUUUAGAUCAAGGAAGAGAUCAGUGUAGAGCUCUUGUUCGAUAUUUUUCUUAGUUUAAAUCUUGAAGAACAUUAUCAUUUUCUCAAGCACUCAUAUGUGGAAUCAUUGUGCCCUUUGUCUGAGAAGCAGCUAUGAAUUCUGUUUUUGUCUUCGAUAUUGUUAAACGUAGCUGAUUUGUAAGAUUACUUUGUGAUCUUUUUUGGAUGCUUGAUAUGUAUCCAACCAAGAGUGGGUUUCUUCUUACAAAGAUAUUGAGUUAGGAAUUUUAAUGUCAUUUUAUGUUCGAAUUGGGGAAAAUUCACAAAAAAUUGGGAAAAUAGAAGAGAGCAUUAUUCGAUGUUUACCACAUGGUGGAAUAAUUUGACAGAACAAUGUACUUUGGGAAUGACAUAUGGAACAAACUGUGUAAACCAAUUUGAUGAUGAAGGUGAACGAGUUACAUAUAGGAGACUUACACUUCCAUAAUAAUAUUCAGAAACUAUAUGAAAGUGUAUCUUUCUUUAUUACUAAAACUCUUUUCUAAUAAGAAAUGUGUAAACUAUGUAACUCGGCAACGGUUCCAGACUCUCUAAUCCUAAAUCAAUGUUAAAGGCGUAAGGCUCUUGAACCUGUUCAUUGUGAGCUUUGAACUAAGUAUUCAAUUUUUUGGACAAUCCGAAAAACACAACAGUAUAACUACAAAUGGAUUAGUCCCAUUUGGGCGUAGUCUCAUUCGUUUGGACGAGAAACACAACGAAAAACCUAGCCAAUUUUGUUGUUCUCAUGUAUGGGCUUAAUUGGGGACUAAUCCAUCUGUGGUUCCCCUUGUUUCCAUAGUUCGUAAUUUUAUUCGUUUUUCGUCUUAAGUUUUCCCUUCUUUAGGUUUAGUUUCCGGAGAUAUUUUUGUUUUCCGCCGGCUUUGUGUUUCAAAUUUGUAUUCCACCCUUUGUAUUUCACAACCUAUAAUACAAUGGAAAAAUUCUGGAUGAAAAAAAGAAAAAGAACACAGUAUAUAGAAAAAUCUGAAUCACAGUACUAACAUCAUUGAUUUUCUGCUACAAAAAUGAGUGUACACUGAUUCUUAAAAUAGAUACGGGCUAUAACAUAACAAAAAGAAAAAGUGGGGGAUGGCUUUUGCAAUAAUCUCGAAAGAGUUUCUCACUCACAUCACACCCUUGGUUUAUAAAUAAAACUCAUUGAUCUUGACGGUGAAAAUAUCGCCACCUGUUAAUUUGUAAAAAGGUUUCAGUACACUUAGCUACACUGGAUCCAAGUCUAGUGCUAAACUCAAACCUCGUGGUUUUAGACCAAAAUCUCUUCUUCUUCGUUUCCUUCUUCCUCAUCAUAUCUUUCAUCUUCUCCACCAGAAUUUGUUUUAGGCUCUCCUUCUUCUGUUUCUUUUUCUCCCAAAGAAACAAUUAGAUAUGGAGAACCUUACCCUAGUUUCUUGCUCAGCUUCUUCUCCAAAGCUGUUAAUUGGAUGCAAUUUCACUUCCUCGCUGAAAAACCCUACUGGGUUUUCUCGUCGGACUCCUAAUAUUGUCCUCCGGUGUUCCAAAAUAUCUGCCUCUGCUCAAUCUCAAUCUCCCUCUUCGCGUCCGGAGAACACUGGAGAAAUCGGUUAGUUUGCAAAUUCCACUCGACACUCUAUUAUAGCAAAUGCCAAAAUUUUCCGGAAAAAUUUCCAGUUUAUUACUUUUAUCUAUCUUAUUGAAACUCAAAUUGCGAACCCUUUUCGACUGGUUUAAUAUGAGCUUAUGAAUUGCUAUAUCUCUUAAAAAAAUCCACACUUUGUGAAUUUGCAAUUUGAAUUCUUGUAGAAACCAUUCAUUGUUAGAAUUGUUUACUUUAAGUUUAUGUUCGAUUUGCAGUGGUUGUGAAACAGAGAAGCAAAGCUUUUGCAAGUAUAUUUUCUUCGAGUCGUGAUCAACAGACAACUUCUGUUGCUUCCCCUAGUGUGCCUGUGCCACCACCAUCUUCAUCAACCAUGUAAUUUUCCUGGUUUUGGACAAUGUGCUUAGUUUGUAUGUCGUUUGAUUCUUGGUUAUUAAAUUGUGUUUUUUCUUUUUUCUUGUAGAGGAUCACCACUUUUCUGGAUUGGUGUUGGUGUUGGUCUAUCAGCUUUGUUCUCAUAUGUGAGUAUCAAGAUUCCUUCCUAAUUUUUUUUUCCUCUAUAAAUAUUCUUUCUUGCUUCAAUAUUGAUUAAUAAGUGCUUGACCUUUUUUCUUUUCUGAUGGCAUUGCAGGUAACUUCAAAUUUAAAGGUACAGAUACUUGGCCCUCUGGUUUUACGGGACUUUUGUUCUCUAGUCUGUUGCAGAACCACGAUUUUAUGCUUCAUGUCAACUCUAGUGUAUUGUGCUCAUGUAUCUGAGAUAGUUUUAUUCACUAAACUGGUUAUCUUAACAAGGUGAACUGUUUGCUCACACUUGUUGAACCGUUUAUAUAAGCAUCGAACUUUUGCCUCUCUUUUUUUGGGUAGUCACUUGAUUCGUAGAUGGUAACCUACAUACCAUUAUGGUUUUAGUGAUGCAACUCAGGUAUUCAGACUUAUAGUCAUUUUCGCAACUCCAGUAUUUGAUUGAAAUAUAUUAUACAAGUUGUCAUUGCUUUCUCUCAUUAUUCUCUAACCGGCUGUUACUCUCUUUGGAUUUUUUUUUUUGCUUUGGUUUAGAAAUAUGCAAUGCAAACAGCUAUGAAGACGAUGAUGAACCAAAUGAAUACGCAAAAUAGCCAGUUUAAUAAUUCUGGAUUCCCAUCAGGAUCACCUUUUCCGUUUCCAUUUCCUCCUCAAACAAGUCCUGCUUCCUCGCCAUUCCAAUCUCAAUCCCAGUCUUCAGGUGCUACCGUUGAUGUGACAGCGACAAAAGUAGAGACACCUCCUUCAACUAAACCGAAACCUACACCUGCAAAGGAUAUAGAGGUGGAUAAGCCAAGUGUUGUCUUAGAGGCAAGCAAAGAGAAGAAAGAAGAAAAGAACUAUGGUAGAUUCUUUUUCUGUUUCAGAAAUCAACGUCUUUUCAUUUGUAUUCUCAAUUUUGACUUUCUUCCUUUCUCAUUUUCCAAGCUUCUAACUUGGAAGCUGAUUUACUUUUGGAUGCAGCCUUUGAAGACAUUUCACCCGAGGAAACCACAAAAGAAAGCCCAUUUAGCAACUAUGCAGAAGUCUCUGAAACUAAUUCCCCCAAAGAAACUCGCUUGUUUGAGGAUGUAAGUUUCGUUUUCUUUUGUAUUUCCACAGCACACCAAGUGGUGAUUUAAAAACGUGACAUAGUUUUGCUAACCUUCUAUGCUCUCUUAUUGAUCUCUGGGUGAAGGUCUUGCAAAAUGGAGCUGGUCCGGCAAAUGGUGCCACUGCUUCAGAGGUUUUUCAAUCUUUGGGUGAGUUAUUGAAUUUCAGUUUUCAUCACUAUCAGCGCACUGUGCAUGAUUCAUGAUUAAGGCUACGGAUUUCAAUUUUAUUUUAUAGCAUAUGCCAACAAUUAUAAACAAAGGAAGAUAUGAAAUUGGUGAUAAAGAGGAAUGAGUUGGCUUCAAAAGGAUCUACUCCGUUACUUUUGUCCUUCUGCUAGUCGUUGAUCUGUAUUGGUAUAACCAUAUAAGACUUGCAGGAUAUUACCUUGGCAAUCUGUUUCAUAUCUCAUGUGUUAUGAUUCUUUUUUCUUAUAUGCUCACGUUAUUGUCUCUCUUUUCCUUAUUCUAAAUUUAAAACUGAAUCCUGAGUCUGUCUAUUGUUUACACAGGUGGUGGGAAAGGAGGGCCGGGUUUAUCUGUAGAAGCUUUAGAGAAAAUGAUGGAAGAUCCAACAGUCCAGAAGAUGGUUUACCCGUAACUCAUCUUCCCUAGCACAUUGUCUUUAAAUGCAUCCAUUAAGUUUAUCUUUAAAACUGGUUGCUUAGUGGACAUUUGGUAACAUUGCAUGUAUAAAUGCAGAUACUUGCCUGAGGAGAUGAGGAACCCAGAAACUUUCAAAUGUAAGUCUUUUAAUAUUUAAUCCUGCUAUCAUUCUUUUAUUAGUCCUCAUUUUUACAUAUUUCUAAAGACUAAAGGUUACAUGACUAGCUUUUGAAUGAUGUAAUUCGUUUAUAGGUUGAUCCAAUGGUUAUCUAAAUUUAAAAUACAGUUUGGUACUUAUUGUCUCCGCUUGGAAUUUUGUAGGGAUGCUUAAAAAUCCUCAGUACCGUCAACAACUACAGGACAUGUUGUAAGAGCUCCAUUUUACGAACAAUUUAGUUGUUUCCAUUGCUUUUAAGAAUGUCUAAACUAUGUAAUUAAGAAAUACUCUUGUUUGUUUCUUUUCAUGAAUUUAGGAAUAAUAUGAGUGGGAGUGGUGAAUGGGACAAGCGAAUGACAGAUACAUUGAAGAAUUUUGACCUGAAUAGUCCUGAAGUGAAGCAACAAUUCAGUAAGACAAAUCUCAGUUUGUACCAAGUUAAUAGUACGUUAAAUAGGUCUGAUACUCAAUGAUUGAAUCUGUAUUUGUCAGAUCAAAUAGGACUAACUCCAGAAGAAGUCAUAUCUAAGAUCAUGGAGAACCCUGAUGUUGCCAUGGCAUUCCAGAAUCCUAGAGUCCAAGCAGCGUUAAUGGAAGUACGUUUUCUUUUAACCUGAAUAAGAGAAUUGCUUAAUUUUACCCCACUUCUUUCUUCAUACAAAACAGAAACCAAUUACAUUCUUGUUGUUGUUGCAGUGCUCAGAGAACCCAAUGAACAUCAUGAAGUACCAAAACGACAAAGAGGUAAUAAUACUGCCACUUCUCCAUUGCCCAAAAAGGCGAUUACUUUUUUAAGAAAUUUGAGGUUAUUAUACAUUGAUUGCAGGUAAUGGAUGUGUUCAACAAGAUAUCGCAGCUCUUCCCAGGAAUGACGGGUUGAAAAAGCUCACGUCUUUGGUUCUAUCAAAAAUGUCACAUUGUCUUUAGCUUUUUGUAGGGAGAAAAAAAUGUUUUUUUUUUUGCAAAGAGUCUUCAGUUUUGGUCAGAUCAGAGAAUUGUGUACCAUGUUAAUCUUAAACGCGGUCGGGAAUUGGAGUCGUGUGAAAACGCCGCUGCUGUUGUUUGGUAUGAAUAUUAUACAAUAGAAUUUGUUGUCUUACCAAAAAAAGUCUAUGAAGACACUGAAGAGCAAAUUAUUAUUUUUAAGGGAAAAUUUCCAAAAUAAACUUCAUGUAUUCAAAAUUUGCUUGAAAAAACCUCAAUUUUUUUUGUUUGAGAUUGUGUGAAUAAAUCUGCCAAUAUUUUGUUUUAGCAAUUUAAAAAAUUGAAGUUUUUUUCUCGCAAAUUUUAAAUAGUUGUGAUUUAUUUUGGAAUUUUACCUUAUUUUUAAUAUCCAAAAGGAGAAGUGACGUGGCGAUAUCGAAGCGGUUUAAUGAAGUGAUGGCCCCAUCUUAAAGAAAUCAAUGACCCUUAUCGUUCCACUUCUAUCGGAGUCGGAGUUUUUUUUUGUUGUUGUUGUAUUCCGUACGUCGGUCGUUGUCGGGAGAAUUGGCGCGUGAAAUCCUUGGCUCCGUCGAAUACGUCUGCCUCCGACGGCUGUGAGUCGCAUGAUUGAGUCGUGGGUAAGUAUCCUUGUGACUUCAAAUUUGUAUUUCCGUUCUUUAUAAUCCCCUGACUCUUGAGAAAAUCGAGGAGAAAAAACCAUCCUUGCUUGGUAUUCAUUUGAAGAGUGUUUUAGUUAUAAAAUCGUAAUGUUUGACGGUAUGUGAUAUUCUGUGAGCAUGAUUAUUCAGAAAGCUUUUGUCUUUUUAGUAAAUAUUGUCUCUUUCUUAGUCUUAGGUAAUGUAACCUCAAGAACUCUAUGCGAGAACAUUACACAUUAUCUUUGGAAUUGGAUAUUAUAUUGUUAAAGUUUAAUCAUUGAUGAAAGUUGCAAAGAGUUAUGAUGACUCCGUUUUGGGAUUGUCUUACCGUUGUCUUUCUGGUUUUAAUGCUUAGGUUUCUCUUGAUGAAGUCUAGAAGUGAAAGUAAGAAUUGUAGGCUUGCACAAGCCUCUAGAGUAGCAGUCAACAAAGUUCUAGACAAAAGCAGCGCCCGUGGCUCUCGAGGCAAGAAGAAGCAAGAUGAUAACUGUGAUUCCGCUAAGGUUUGUUCUUCUAUUCAUGCAAACAACAUUAUUGUUAUAAUGAUUUCACUAUGUUUACCAGGGUACUUAAGAUGUUAGAAGCAACGAAUUCUAUUGAUUGUUUUCAAGGUUUCCUUGAAGAUUGUGAAGUCCGUGGUACUACUAACCAAUUAUCAAUGGCUGUUAAAAAUAGUUUCCUUGUCCUAUGCCUAAAGAUUUUCUUGGGACAGUGGAGAUUUUUGUCUUAUCUAGUCCUAUGUUGUCCGGGAGUGUAAAAUUAUUUAAUACUCUUCUAUCAUUGCAGCGGGAUAAAGGCGUAAACGGUAAGGGAAAGCAAGCGCUCGACGCAAGAUUGAUUGAUAACGUUCUAGAGGACAGGGGAUGUGGUAAUGUUGAUGAUGAUGAAAUGAAUGAUUCAGACUGGGAAGACUGUCCAAUCCCUAGUCUUGAUAGUACGGUUGAUGAUAAUAAUGUUGAUGACACCAGAGAGCUAACCAUAGAAUUUGAUGAUGAUGUUCCUGAUGCUAAGAAGCAGAAGAAUGCAUACCGUGCAACAGCAGAAGACAAGGUAUACUGUGCUUAGGAAACACAAUAUGCUUACUUUUGUUUAUUCUUUAAAAUGUGGUUGCUUUAGAGAUUUGUGCUUUGUCUCAAAGGUACGGGCGGAACUUGUCCAUAAGGUGCACUUGCUCUGUCUGCUUGCAAGAGGGAGGAUAGUUGACAGUGCUUGUAAUGAUCCCUUGAUUCAGGUGAAUAAAUUGAAUACAACAGUGUUAGCAGUUGCUUCAAAGUUAAAUUUUUCAUAUUGCAACCUGCGAUAUAAAGUUUAGUUUUUACAUUUAACGUGCAGGCUGCCUUGCUUUCACUUCUACCAUCAUACUUGACAAAAGUAUCAAAUCUCGAGAAAGUUACUGUCAAGGAUAUAGCCCCUCUUCUUCGUUGGGUAUGGAUUUACUGGCAUGUAGCUUUUGUUUUGUUCUAAUGGAAAGGUUAAACAAAUGUUCCCUGGUUUAAAUUGUAGGUUCGUGAAAACUUUUCUGUUAGUUGUUCUCCCAGUUCUGAGAAAUCUUUUCGUACAUCCCUAGCAUUUGCUCUUGAAUCUCGUAAAGGCACAGCGGAAGAGGUAAGCUUGGGAUCAGAUUUAUGCCAUUGAACCUUUUCAUUAUAUGGUUACUUGUAUUGUUGAAACCUCUGUUUACGAAACUUAUGGAAACAUUUUUGCAGCUUGCAGCACUGGCUGUUGCUUUGCUUAGAGCAUUAAAGCUCACAACCCGGUAUGUGAUACUUGUUAUGUUGCCACAAUAUAGUAUUUCUAUUUGGUUUCUGAGCUUGGUUGUGAAUCUGUUUUUUACUGUGUAUCAAUGACACCUUGUCUAAAGUGGCAUAUGAGAACUCCAUUCUUGCAUGUUAAUGAGUUUCCUCAGUCCUAUUUGGCUAAUUAUUUAGAUCCAUAACGUUCAUUGACAUUAUGCUUUUCAAGAUUAAUCUUGGUCAGAUAACUAUUUACGGUACCAUCGUUUCUGGAGUGUUACUUAUUUAUAAUACUUACAGCUUAGUAUGCCAAGCGUGUUUCGAGUUUUUUGUAAUAAGUUGAGUUUUACAGGUUUGUGUCUAUUCUUGAUGUUGCAUCCUUAAAACCUGGGGCCGAUAGGAAUGAAUCAUCAGGUCAAAACAGAGCUAAAAUGAAGCAUGGGAUAUUCAGGACGUCAACACUUAUGGUACCAAAACAGCAGGCCAUCUCGUCAUACCCGAAGAAAUCUUCCUCCCAUGUUAAGAAUAAAAGUCCCUUUGAAAAGCCUCAGCUUGGGAAUCCCCUGGGCUCUGAUCAGGUACAAGACAAUGCAGUCAAUUCAUCUUGUGAAGCAGGAAUGUCCAUAAAAUCUGACGGAACAAGGAGGAAAGGAGAUGUUGAGUUCGAGAGGCAAAUAGCCAUGGCUUUGUCUGCAACUGCAGACAACCAACAGAGCUCUCAAGUGAACAAUACGAAGAAAGUUCGUGAAAUAACAAAAAUAAGUAAUAGCUCGUCAGUUUCUGACCAAGUAAUAUCCACGGCUUUCGGUUCUAAGAAAGUAGAUUCUCCCCUUUGUUGGCUUGAGGUGUAUUGCAAUGGGGAAAACAUGGAUGGGAAAUGGGUCCAUGUCGAUGCUGUUAAUGGAAUGAUAGAUGCAGAGCAAAACAUUGAAGCAGCAGCUGCCGCAUGCAAAACCGUUCUCAGAUAUGUUGUUGCAUUUGCUGCUGGUGGAGCUAAAGAUGUCACUCGCAGGUUUUCUAUUGACUGUAUUACAGUUACUUUGUUGUUGGACAAUUAACAUCUUCUAUUUUUACAUAUCCUUUGCUUGCAAAGUGCAAACAGUUUCCAUUUCUAGAUACUUCUUUACAUCUAAUUCCCUCUGACACUUUUCUUAUUCAGGUACUGUACAAAGUGGCACACUAUUUCAUCCAAACGGGUGUCUUCAGUGUGGUGGGAUAUGGUAUUAGCACCGUUAGUACAUCUCGAGUCAGGUGCAACUCACGAUGAAGACAUUGCUCUGAGAAAUUUCAAUGGCCUAAAUCCUGUUUCUAGUAGAGCUUCCUCGAGUAGCUCGUCGUUUGGUAUAAGGAGUGCUCUUGAAGAUAUGGAGUUGGCUACACGGGCGCUGACUGAGUCUCUUCCUACUAACCAGCAGGUAAAGUGGGUGUAACCUGACAAAUAAAUUUAAAGCUCAUACUUCAUUUAAACCCUUCAGCUAAAAAAAUCCCUUUAUUUAAACUUGCAGGCUUAUAAAAGUCAUGAAAUAUAUGCUAUUGAGAAAUGGCUUCACAAGAACCAGAUACUUCACCCAAAAGGUCCAGUUCUGGGAUUUUGCUCUGGUCAUCCAGUAUAUCCUCGAACCUGUGUGCAGACUCUUAAAACAAAAGAAAGAUGGCUUCGUGAUGGGCUACAACUUAAGGCGAAUGAAGUUCCCUCAAAGGUUUCCGUGUUUUAUUCUCUCCCUGAUGAUUAUCUUAGUCGUUCCCCUUUUUUUUCGGUUUGAUGAUCAACUCUUGAAGUCCAUUAUUACCUUAGAUUCUUAAGCGAAACUCGAAGUUCAAGAAAGUAAAAGAUUUUGAAGAUGGCGACAACAACAUUAAAGGUGGUUCUUCUUGCAUGGAACUAUAUGGGAAGUGGCAAAUGGAACCAUUGUGUCUCCCUCCCGCUGUUAAUGGAAUUGUGCCCAAGGUAAAACAAAUGUUGUUGUAUUUGUCCUUGUUUAUAUCGCUUCUGCAGUUGCAACUUCAUCAAUACUUUAAAACAAAACAUACUUUGUAGACGGGAAUAGUGUAUAAAUGUAUAAUCCUUAUGUUUUUUUCAGAACGAGCGCGGUCAAGUUGAUGUCUGGUCUGAGAAAUGUCUCCCACCUGGAACAGUCCACUUAAGGUUUCCUCGAAUAUUUGCGGUUGCUAAGAGAUUCGGUAUAGAUUAUGCACCUGCCAUGGUUGGUUUCGAGUACAGAAGUGGAGGUGCUACUCCUAUUUUUGAAGGUAUUGUGGUCUGUACCGAGUUCAAAGACACAAUCCUCGAGGUAUAAUCUCUUUAAUUUUCAAUCUGAAACAGAGUACCAUGUUUUGAAUAUGGAUCCGUUGGUUAUAUCUUGUUUUUCUUGUUGUUUUGGUUAGGCAUAUGCAGAAGAACAAGAAAAGAAAGAAGAAGAGGAGAGAAGAAGAAAUGAGGCACAAGCAGCUUCGAGAUGGUAUCAGCUUCUUUCGUCUAUCUUAACCCGUGAAAGAUUGAAAAACCGUUACGCUAAUAACUCUAACGAUGUCGAAGCCAAGAGUUUGGAAGUGAAUUCAGAAACAGUCGUUAAGGCAAAGAAUGUGAAAGCACCUGAAAAGCAGAGAGUGGCUAAGAGAGGAGAAAAGUCACGAGUAAGAAAGUCUCGUAAUGAAGAUGAAAGUCAUGAACAUGUGUUUCUUGAUGAGGAAGAAACCUUUGAUGAGGAAACCUCUGUGAAAACGAAACGCUGCAAAUGUGGCUUCUCUGUCGAAGUUGAACAAAUGUAGUUUUGACUUCGUUUACUGGCCCUAGGAGUCUAGCUAGGAGUUUCAUUUGUUUAGAAAAUGAUUUUACAUAAAAUUAGGGUGAUCUAUCUAUUAUUCCACCGAAAAUUUUGAUUUUAAGUCUUAACCACAGAGUUUGACCUUGUUUAAGGAACUACUUAAAACAAAGCUUGCCAAGUUUGAAGGAAACCAAAAUUGAAAACGAAAUCAGAAUCCGACAAAACAAAUGAACCCUGAUCCGACAGAUAAAUCUCAAACCAAAACCUUUUUUAUCUGAAAUAAUGGCUUUCAAAUAUAAAAUCAAAGUUAUAUUACAAAUAUUUGUCACAUGCAGAUUUUGAAGGUCAUGGUGGCCCAUUUGAACACCACACAACUUGAAAGAAGUAUAAAUAUGUACGUAUAGUUACAACACGAUUUCAUCAAUGUCUCUUAUCUUACUUAUUUAAAAUAGUUAUUACUUGUAUAUCACUGGAUCUCUAAUAACCGCGAUAAGUUUUGCUACCCAAGGUUCUCCGAAUCUGCCCACAACUUAAAAAACAAAUAUCUUACCCAAUUCUAAAUUUGCUGUUGUUAAGAGAACCCAAGGAAAAGCAAAAUAUAUAUAUAUAUAUAUAUAUAUAUAUAUAUAUAUAUAUAUAUGGAAAUUGCUUACUUAGAUAAGGCACCACCAUGUCGUGAUCGCCACUAUUCUCCAAAAAGAAAUCUCAACAAGUUUUAUAUCAACUCUUGAAACUGAUUUGUAUAAGAUCUCUUAAUUACUCCAUCAUUGAUAAUUGGAGGCCAUGGAUGAUAAACAAUCAAGUUGCUGGAUACGCUCAGACAUAUGCCAAUAAUAUGACAUUAGCUACUGUCAAAGCAAGUCUUUUAUUUUUCCAUUGUAAUUAUACAAAUCUUUUCCCUAACUUGCAUAUAAAAUGGUAAAAAAAUUGAUUUUAAUCUACAGGGAGGUGGGCACACAGCAGAAUAUACACCAGUGGAAAUUAAAGCUCUAUCCUGUUUCAGAGAUGGCUAGCUGGCCAACUUCUAAAAAAAUGCCUCUUUGCAAUUCAUUGAUAAUAUAUUUGCAUUCUUAUUUGUAGAAAUUCUGUUGAAUCUAUAUAGUGUAAACAUUGUUAAUGGAUCUAAAGAUAAAAUAAAGAGUUGGGUUAUGGAUGUCUAAAUUUUUUGACCUAAAUAUGGAUCGAAUUUGGUGUACAAGUUUUAAACCACUAGCUAUAAUGGUCAAAACAAGAUAAAAUGCUUAACGUUCUAAGAAGUAAUUAGCGUCACCUGAAAUUUCCGACAAAACAUCCAUAGUUUCCCAAUGUUUUGUCAUUAAUGCUCAUAUUUGUCCCUAAGAUCACAUUGAACUACUUGACAUAAUGAAUGUUGUUUGGUAAAAUCAGAACCGGGUUAACCGAUUAGUUCUGAUCCGGUUUGAUUUAAAACCCUUAAAAUAACCGAAACCCCAAUUAAAAAAUUCAGGUGAAUUCUAAACUGGUUAAGAAGAAUUGGGGAGGUUUUACCACUUCUCUCCUCCUCCUUCAAGCUCUCUUCCACAGAGAUUGAGAACGAAAACUCAAGCUUUGAAGCAUGAGGAGAUCGAUUUCUUCAAAAGCGAAGUCGUUUCUUCAUCGGAAUCUUCUCUAUUCAGGUAAUUCCGGAACUUCUCCGUCGUCGUCGUUUAGCAUUUGCGGUUUCUGUUUCUCGAGACGAGCUUAUUCUAAUGGCAGUGAUUAUCGAGAAAUGUUGAGAAAUGGGAUUCGGUUUAUGAAACUAGACGAUUCUCUUGAUCUCUUCUUUCACAUGGUUCAAUGUCGUCCUCUUCCUUCAAUUGCUGAUUUCAGUAGAUUACUAAGUGCUAUUUCCAAGAUGAAGAAGUAUGAUGUUGUGAUCUAUCUCUGGGAACAGAUGCAAAUGUUAGGGAUUCCACAUAAUCUCUGUACUUGCAAUAUCUUAUUGAAUUGUUUCUGUAGAUGUUCUCAGCUUUCUCUUGCGUUAUCGUUUCUUGGGAAGAUGAUUAAACUUGGUCAUGAGCCUAGCAUUGUCACGUUUGGCUCGUUGCUUAACGGUUUCUGUCGCGGUGAUAGGGUUUACGAUGCUUUGUAUAUGUUUGAUCAAAUGGUGGGAAUGGGAUAUAAGCCUAAUGUUGUGAUCUACAAUACAAUCAUUGAUGGUCUUUGCAAAAGCAAGCAGGUUGAUAACGCGUUGGAUCUUUUAAACCGGAUGGAGAAAGACGGGAUUGGACCGGAUGUGGUUACCUACAAUUCUCUUAUAUCUGGACUUUGUAGUUCGGGGAGGUGGAGUGAUGCUACUCGAAUGGUAAGCUGUAUGACCAAGAGGGAGAUCUACCCUGAUGUAUUUACUUUCAAUGCGUUGAUUGAUGCUUGUGUGAAAGAAGGAAGGGUUUCAGAGGCUGAAGAAUUUUAUGAGGAGAUGAUCCGAAGAUCUUUGGAUCCUGAUAUUGUUACUUAUAGUUUACUGAUUUACGGGCUUUGUAUGUACAGUCGCCUAGAUGAAGCAGAGGAAAUGUUUGGUUUUAUGGUUAGCAAAGGUUGCUUUCCAGAUGUUGUAACUUAUAGUAUUCUCAUUAAUGGAUAUUGCAAGUCUAAGAAGGUAGAGCAUGGGAUGAAACUCUUCUGCGAGAUGUCUCAGAGAGGAGUGGUUAGAAAUACAGUCACUUACACAAUUCUUAUUCAGGGUUAUUGUCGAGCGGGUAAGCUUAAUGUUGCUGAAGAAAUUUUCAGACGGAUGGUUUUUUGUGGUGUGCAUCCUAAUAUUAUCACUUACAACGUUUUGUUACAUGGUUUAUGUGAUAAUGGGAAGAUAGAGAAAGCAUUGGUGAUAUUGGCAGAUAUGCAGAAGAAUGGAAUGGAUGCUGAUAUCGUUACGUAUAAUAUCAUCAUUCGCGGGAUGUGUAAGGCUGGUGAGGUUGCAGAUGCUUGGGAUAUAUAUUGUAGUCUCAACUGCCAAGGAUUGAUGCCUGAUAUUUGGACAUACACUACAAUGAUGUUAGGAUUGUACAAGAAAGGACUACGGCGUGAAGCAGAUGCGCUGUUUAGAAAAAUGAAAGAAGAUGGGAUUUUGCCAAAUGAAUGUUACGUAUAGUGAGGCUUACUAGGACUAAGCACAUUAGCUUAAGUAUCUCAGGGAAGCUUGCAAGAUAUUUAUAUCCGGGUCAGGCUCCUACCUGUGAGAUGUUUACCCCUGGAAGCCAAUUUUGGAAUGAGCUAAUUUUAGUACCAUAGAUAUUGUUAAUAUUAGCGCGUAAGCUGCAUAGUGUCAUAGUGGAUUAUUGACAGACAUUACAGUAUCGAAGCUUGAAUUGUAUGUAUAGCCGAUUUGUCUCCGAGAGGAUGUUUGCCCUUGAAAUGAAUAACUCAGGUCCUUUGAAACCAAGUUGGAAUUCUAUGAGGAGAGCUGACUCUAUCAUAAGAAGCCAUCUUCUCAAGUGUCAUGAAUAAUCUCAGUAUUCAGUUUAUAAUUGUCCAUUCUUUCAUACACUGUAUACCAAUGUUUGUUUAUGUGUUCUUCAACAAAGUUUCUGUAACAAUUUUUUGUAUGUUACAAAGUUUAUGUAUCCUUUUCUCAGGUUUCUUUACAUGUCACUUUGAAUCAAGCUUCCAGAAUCCAGAGUGGGUUGUAAAAGAAUAUUAACACUUACAGCAGAAGUUACUGUAAAAGCAGAAGUUAGAACAGCUACAGAGCCAACAAAUACAUGUCCACGAUUGAAGCUUCAUUUCAUAGAUUGUAUUAUUCACUUUGUCUCAAGUCUGGAAAACCAUGAAUGAUGAGAAUAGUAGAGUGGUAAAAGAUUUGAACCAUCACCAAUGUGUGAAUGUAUUAAUAGAAGCCAGAGACAAUACAAGCUUCUCUAAUUCUACAUUGAUAAAGAAACAAUACAACAGACCUAAUCAAAGCAUUUCACUAUAUCAUCAAUGCGCGAUAAAAGCGCUAUAGCUCCAGUUUUGUACAGUUUUACAGCCCUCUUCUAACUUCUGCUUCAGUUUAUACAGUAUCCUGUGAAGAUAAUGAGUACAGAAAUGGAUCCAAGAGUUUAGGUCGUAAAUGGGUUUUGAAAAAGUUACAUAGUAAAUUCGAAAUGCCAAGAAGAGAGAACAGAAAAAGAAAGCCAACCUUGCUCGUCUGUUGUUUGGUGGUCUCAGCCAAUUGAUGUGUCCUGCAUGCAAAGUUUAACCGAUGAAGACAAGCUACUAUAUGCAUACAGUUUCAUGAUAUGAUAUAUAAGAAUUUGACACUGUGGAAUAAGUGAAUAAGCUGAAGAGGUUGUUACCACUUACCAUGGUGAUGAGGAUUGGCUGAUACCGAGCCCAUUGCAAGUGAGUAUCAUUCCCUUAAAUCUGGCGAGAUAUUCCUGCGUUGAAGAAUGAGUUGGGAUAUCUCAAAUAGUCAGUCACAACCUAGAUCCCAUGUUGUUGUUCAAAUGUAAAGCAACUUGGUUUGUAAAUCUCAAAAGAAGUGUUACAUACCCGUAAAGUGUAUUUGUGGAUCUCAUAUAUACCAGUGAAAUCAUACUCAAAACGUUUAGCAGGGUCCAUCAGCACUGCCAAAAAGAAAGAAGAAGCUAAAUCACAUAACGAAAACAAUUGAUUCGAGACAUUGCUUGAGGGAGAAAGAGAGACAGAGAGCAUUGAUCUAAAAUAUUUGCAAGUGUCGAUGGAAAACAUAAGAGAUCCUCAUAAUCAAACAGAACUUCGUAUUAAAAGUCAUUCAGUAAAGGAUCUAGAGAUGAGAAAUAAGUAAACAGAGAGGCAAAGAUGAAAAGGAUCUAGAGAUGAGAAAUAAGUAAACAGAGAGGCAAAGAUGAAGAGGGAACCUAAAAUUAUCAGAGGCUUGAAACCAUAUAGAGGUGUAUCAAUACUUAAGCAGAGCUAAUGAACUAUAAGGCUGAAGGAACUAAAUGGAAAAGUAGAAGGCUUUAAGUGACUCAUUGUUAAACUUAGUUUCUUUUCUUCAUGAAUUAUUCUUUCUCGACCAAUGAAGAAAAUCAAAUAUCAUGUCAGUAACAUGGUAUUGAUGUUCCGAUAGAAACCGACAAUGCAAAAGAAAGACUUACCAUUAUAAGCUUCAUUAAUCUCUUGAAAUUUUUCUGUAGCUGCACUAUCGCCUUUGUGCUUAUCAGGAUGCCACUUCUGUAGAUGGAAACCACAAAUUAAAUUCUCAGUAACAAGAUUUAAUCCAAAGCAACACCAGAUUUUUAAUGGAGAAGGGUCUUUUGAGUUCACAUACCAAUGCAAGCUUCCGAUAAUUGAGUCUGAUCAAUUCCUCAGUUGCGUCGUAAUCAACUUCUAGAAUCUUAUAGUAAUCCUUCAAACAAACAAACAAACAAAAACUUACAAAUCAAAAAUCAAAUGGGCAUUUGUGAAAAUGUAAAGAGAACAUGCAAACAUAAUCAUUUUCCAGAAUUUUUCAAAGUAACCCUUUCUUCUACUAGAGAAUCCAUAAGAGUAAUACUAUACGAAACUGUAUCAAAUCACCAUAUUCCAGUCAAACAAAAACCAGACAUUAUCUAAUAAACCAAAUUUCAAUGGAGCUCACGCAUUUUUCCAGGCAAAAUUGAAACGAAAGACCGGUGAUUUUUAGUUACCUUAGGGGGAGACUUAUCAUUGUCUUCCAUCUGAAACAGACACAAACAGAGGAAGAAUCUCCUCACACAUCAUCUGAUAGAGACCAAACAGAAACCCAAAACCCUAAACUGAAAGGAGCUGAUUCUUUUUCCGUUCAGCAACGAAAUCAAAAUCCAAACUUUUAGAGAAAAAAUGAAAACUUUGAAUCGAAUCGUGUGGAUUGCUUUUCCUCAGCAGUAUUUUUGUGUUUGGGAAUAAUCGGAAGAAAAGAAGAAGAAGAAAGGCUUUGGCUUUAUGAGUUUUCGUUUUCGGUUCCUUUUGGGAUAUUGUGACGAGGCCACCGGCCAUUGUUUAUCUCUCUUGUCUUUUUUUUUUUUACGGAUUAUUUCAAACCUUAUCCACUUUGUAAUAAAUAUAAAAUUUCCACUGAAAACAAAUAAUUUACGUUACAAUAUAUUACUAAGAGAACAAAGAUUUUUUCGAAUUAAAUUGAACCAAAUUCACACUAAAACCAAAAGACGUAUACAUUUCACUUUGCAAGAGUUCUUUCUACUAAGGACUGAGCACAAAGGCAAACCAGAAAGAAAAGAACCAAAUCAAACAUAUAAGUAAUGGUUUUUUAACUCUAGUUUACAAAUGAAACACAGAAGAAGAAAGCUGUUUGUUUCUUCCUUCAAGUCGUAGCUUCAACCUCUGGGUCAGUUUCGACCGGUACAUUUAGGGAAGAAGUGUUCUUUUCUCGACCUCGUAAACGCGAAGAGACAUUGUCUAUCGCUGAAUUAAGUUGUCCUAUUUUCUCAUUCAGUGUCUCUCUUGUUUUCUCUAAACCUUCAUCGUAGUACGUUGGCUGUUUCGGCUUCUCAAAACCGUACUCGUCUUCUUCAUUUAGAACCGAUCUUCGGAUCUAAAUCACCACAACACAAGAAUAAUCAUAACCAUCAGCUUUUUAGAUUGCAUGAGAAAGAUAAACAGUUAUAUCAUCCAAAGCUCCAAGAACCAAUCAAAAUAGAACCAACGAAGCAGUAAUGAGAACAACAAAGAUACUGUCUGUUUUAGGCAGUGGAAUGUGCAUAAGUAGGGAACAAAAGCACAGUCUACUCAUCAUUUCAAAAGACUAGAUCAAAACAGUCAGUAACAUAAACCAAAACCAUUGAAAACAUGAGAUAAUGUCUAAUUCCCAUUUAGGUUUCUAAAGAGUAAACAUCAUCAUUACCUGUGGAGCAAAGAUAUAAGCAACAGCGCCAAAGACAGCACCUCCUAGAAGAAAACCAGCAAUGAAAUCACCACUGCUUCCGCUUCUACUUCCAUCUCUGAAUUAAGUUUCAACAAUUUUAAGUCAAUUCAAUAGAAGAGAGAACGCUAUAGCGAACGAAAUGCAUACAUACAUACCGAUACCCUGCAGAAACAGAAAACUUGCGAGUCCGGUUUGAUUUCUUGUGAAUAGUCAAAUCAGAGGUUUUACAAAUAGAACUGAGUUUUGUUGUUGUAGACAAUCCAUUAGCUUUCACAUAAUGAGAUUGAGACACGCCUGUAAAACCACAGAUUCAAGAAGCUUGCUAAUAUGAAUCUCUCUUGAAAUUUCUUACAAAUCACAAAGUAGAGCUCAAUAGCAGCUAGAGUUUGUUCAGUUGCUUACUCUAUAGCUAUCUAUAAUUCUUCGCAAAUAAGGAAUUGAUUUUGAUCUCAAUUUUAUUUUACCUAAGCUAGAAAAUAAGCCUAAUUUAUAGAGGAACGAUGCAACGAUCAAAUUAACAAGUGUCUCCAUACUGAUUAAAACGCUACCGAAUUGUACAAAAUCAAAUGAAAUUCAAUCAAUCUGAAACUUCGACGAUGAAAUUCUAGUAAAGACGGAGCAAUUUGAAAAUUCAGGAGGAAACAAAAAGGAGCUUAGUAGGUAGAGAAAUUAAGGAUCGAGGUGAAGCUAAAAGGAGGAUCGAUUACCAGAUAGAGAAAGAGGAGCAGUAGCAAUACACGACGCCAUUGGAACUGAAGACGAACAAAAGAGAGAUCUGAGCUAGAAGAAGAAUAUGUAGACAUGUUUUUUUUUUUUGGAUAUACUAUGUAUAUCUUCUUCUCCUUGCUUGGGAAAACUAUAUAUAAAUUUACUAUUCUACCCUCGUUCUUAUUAUUUGCUCAGUUACCGACCGGACGACAGAGUACGACACAGCUCCAAUUGAUCUUUUACCAAAUGACUACAAAUAGUUGAUUACUACUUGGAUGAACAAAUUUCUUCAAAUAAUAUCACAUGUUAACCAGAUUGUAAUCAACUAUAGAGAAGUGGAGACAGAUGAAAUCAGAUCACUCUUUUGUUCUUCUAUAGAUAUCAUAUAUCAAACCAGUUAUUAUUUUAAAAACAUUCGGUAUCCUUUCUUCUUUUUUUAAUCCCAUCACCAUUUUUAUAUACAAAACCUGUGAUUUUAUCUCGUUGGAGUCUUCACCAACCAUAAGACAACUAAAGACACUCAAAAUAUAUUUUAAAGAAAAAACUUGCGAUAAUAACUUAACUUUUUAUCUGGGAAGGUCUCUGAACAGGAACAACGGAGUAUUCACAUUCUUCCUCUCCUCAGUUCCCGGAAAUGAGAGUGAUAACGACAGAGAAGCUGCCACUUCGGCGUCAUCUUCUUCUUCUUCAUCUGCUUUCUGUUUUUCUUUAUUCAUACUAUUAUUACUUUGUUCACCAGAGUUGCUACUUCUGCUUAAGAAAGGUAAUAGUCCCAUUGUUGCUUCUGUUGUUUCCUCAGCUCCUAAUGCCAGCUCCAGAUUCGGGACUGUACCGCUUAUUAAACGUCUAUUGUUGUUAUUCUCGUCAUUGCCUAGUGGGCUGAGAUUAUCCACCAUUUCACUGUCGUCAUUCAAGUCCAAUGGGAACACGACUUUUGGACUCUUUUUCAUUAUCCCGGAAUCGUGACCAGAUGUAUCCCGGCAGAGGCUGCUGCUUCCGUUUUCUGUCUUCAGCUUCUUAUUCGGAGAUCCUUCGCAUAAACCGUCAUUAUUGAGCUCCACUUUCUGGUUUAUGGCAGAUGAAUUCUCGUUAGCGGGGUUACUCAGUUCCCAAAGUGGACGCUUCCUGUGACUAGCCUGACUACUGUUGAGAUCUUUCUCUAGAGGAUUAUCUUGCCCAUGGGACUGGAUCCCUGAGCCCAUGACCGUCAAUGGCAGAUCCUUCCUACCACCUAAUUCUUGUUCCUCGACUUUCUGAACCUUCCUCACUAGACUAUCUCCAGAAUUUGAUCCAGUAACUUGAGGGGGGAUGUGAUUCACACCUGCUUCUUCCACUUUAAGAGCAAUAUCCUCCUGUAUUAAGGAACUUAAGAGUGAGACGAAAGGGACUCCUUAUAUUAAGAGAUGAAAAUGUCCUACAACAAGUUCAGAGACAAAGGAUUUACACAGGGACUACAAAACAAACCCACCUUUUUGCUCGGUGAUCGCUCAAUAGAGGAUUCCCUGUUAUUUGGAUUCUCAUGACUACGUGCAUCUGUCCCAUUCCGUGUUUCAAUUCCGUUGCUGGAGCUCUCACGUAGAGAAGACCCUUUCUCCAAAUGCUUGGAAGGAGAACUCGUUUGACACAGCUCCUUGGGGUCUCUGUCACGCGGCAAAACAUUUGAAGUAGGCAAAGAUGUGUUCUUUUGUGGGUUAGUCUCUUUUCUUCCUUGGAAGACACCCCAAAGGAAAUAUAACAUGUUCCAGCCUGCAAGGGUAAUAUAUGUAAGCAGUAGAUUUCAUAUAGACUAAACUGGCAUUAAGUUCUGAGUAUACUUUUGAAUCAUCGGUGCUACUUUCUAAAGACUUAUCAAACAGGAUUGUAGCAUGACUGAGGAGUCAGCGACAAGAUAAUCAUGUGUACAAAGUGUAAGAGUUUUGGCAUUACGAUCUAGAAACCAUCAACAAAAUGAUCAUAGGCACAGGUACGAACUACGAAGUGUAAGAGUUUUGAUAAGCAUUCUUACGCUGGCAAUUCGAAGGAAGCUGGUUGGAUGCAAAAAUCAAAAGGUCAACGUUAUCGAGAUUUCCUUUCAGGGCUAAAUCGUUCUUGAUCAUGUUAUCUACCAGAGGCUUAUAAUUUCUCUCAUAACUGUUUCACAAUAUUUAAGAGUUAAACAUUAAGACCACCAACAUGAAGUAAAAGCAAGUAAAUAAUCAUGUAGGAAACCUACCUCUCAGUGUCCUUUGCAAAGAAGAAUAGAGCUAUAUGGGCUUCCUUAGUACCUAAUUUUUCAAAUUGUGUAGGCCAUGUACUCUUCCGAGGUACUUCAUUCAAACUGAAAGUUUCUGGAAAUUUAUUCACCACUUCAGCAACCCUGGGUGAUGCUAAGGUUGAUAAAUGUGCUUGAAUUCCGCUAUGCAUAGCUGACUGGUUUAUGAUUUUCCGCACCUCUAAGUCCCCCCUGGAAAAAUGAUACAAGAACUUCAAGUCAAAAAUGCAUUACAUGGACAUAUAUAAAAGGUAUGCCUCGACAAAAAAAGUAAUAAACACCAAAAAAAAAGAGAGCUUCUUCACCAAAAGAAAGGAAAACUUACUGCCAUAUAAACUCAUGGUCCGGAAUGGCUGAGCUUCUCAACAUAACAGGUGAGGGAACUAAAGGCAAAUCUCUCAUGACAGGCUUUACGGCGGGAAAACUGACUUCAGGUUCCACCAAUCGUGAAGGUAUAGUAUCAGCACCAGGGAAUAUAAGCUGCUUCUCAUUUGUUACAAUUGUCUGCUUGUACGGAUCAGAAGUAGGCCAUAAAAUCGGAUGCCCUCCUUGCAAUCCUUCGUGUGACACAUGAUUCUUAUGCAUCUUUGAAGGCAAUUGAUUUCGUAGAGUCUUUUCAGAACUAGAAUCCACAUUAGCUACCAAUGACGCAUCAGAUUGCUCCAAUACUCUGUUCUUGCCAAAGCUGGGCUUUUUACGCAGAGCAGCAUCUACUGCUGCUCGUAACCUAUUACCCUUAUUUAAAUCCUCCUUAACGUUUUUCGUGGUAGAGAGAUCACUAUCAGACACGCCUGAGGUGUCGCUGGAUUCUGCAGUCUGACCUCCCUUUUGAGAUGAUGGUAAGCCUUUUGCACCAGCCAACAGGCUAGACCUUUGGCGUUUACUGAAGGCUUCUUUGCUUUUCUUCCCUACCUCUCUAGGUACCCUGGACCGCGGCAAUCCAUCCUGUAAAGCUACAGUACCGUGGUUUGGCAUGCCUUCACCCGUACAAGAAGUGGAUGGCAGUUCAUCCUUACAGUCAGCUUGACUUGAACUUUGCUCGCUGGCACUGCACUUUUCAUUUGUGGAAAUAUCUCCUCCUGCUCAAGGAACAAAGAUAUAACAAUGGAGCUCAGUCAUAAUAUCUUAAAAAGGGAGGGUUCAUAAAUUAAAACGAUCCAAAACAUAUCCAACCAAAGUACUAUCAAAGAAAGUAGCAGAAGUACCAAUUUAUUGACAAAAAUGAUAAGUAUCAUACCCGAAACAACUGAAUUUUCUAGACGGUUUCGGCUUAGAUUGCUGACUUGUUUCGUCAAGUUACCUCGUUUACCAUCAGACUGCAAACCCUUUAAAUCACGAUUAUUGUUUGCAUGUGAAACAGACGAAUUGCCGCGUGACUUUAACUUCUGAUCAAUGGAGGAUGCUGAUGCAUUAGCUUCUCUAUUACGAUCUUUCACUUGCUUUAAGCUUUUGCCUUCUUGUGAAUGAUAAACUUUUGAUCCAAGCAUUUUUGCUUGUGAGUCGCUUCCACCAGAAUUCCCUGCAUCUGUAGUUCUACUUGGCAUUGACUUGCCUACAUUUCUAAAACCCCCCACUUUUAAAUCAAGUGCAGUAUCUUCUUUGCCAGUCUUCUGUCUUGGGUGAAUAGCAUCAUCCAUAAGUUGCACUUUCGGUUUCGAGCUCGAACAAUUAAAGGAACUGGAUUUCAAAAAUGCACCUAAAGAAACAAAAAACUAGUUAUUCUAACCUGCAAAAUCGCCAGAAAUACAACAACAGAGAUAAGGUAGAGUUGCGUUUAGGAAGAGCUAUCCCAUCAUGCAGCCUACCUUUUGGAGGUUGGAGCUGUGAACCAGCAGAUCGUGCACUUUCUGUGUCAUCACUGAAUGAUGUUUGAUGAUUUAGCUUUCCCCUUAACCUGUCUAAGCCCUUGAAUGAUGUUUCCCGAGAUAACGCACCUACUCUGGGGAGAAUGGAUUUCUUGGGUGAGCCAGUUGAAGCCUCAACCACCUGUCUUUUAGCAUCUGGAGCGGCCUCAAUUUUAUCUGCGUGCCUUUUGCCAGAGCUAUAAGUAUUGAAGGUUACCUCAGUUUCUCUUUUUCUCUUAGCUUCUGCAUGUUUCAACUUCAACUUCGUUAGACAAAAUGGAAACAGCAAACGUGGAUCCAAAUUUAUGCUAAUUUAUUCAGCUAAUUCUUUUUUCACAUAUAGCAUGUCCCGUUAAAUAUUCAGCUUUACCUUGCUUCUGCUUUUCAGCUUCCUCAGCACAUUCUUCACAUAGCCAAUCACCCUCAGGAACUUCAUCCAGCAUUUCCCGCAUGCAAUAGCUAAGUAAAAGAAAUACACAAUUGUAUUACUAUCACAGAAAAUCAAUGGAUAAUAUCUAUCCAAAAUAAAAUAUACUCCUAAUAUGCAGACAAAUUCCAAAUGGAAAUUGGCCAAUAGUAUGCUUUCUCUACCAUGAAAAUAAGAGCAGGCUUACGUGUGUUCUGCCCCAUCACUGCAUCCGCUACAGAUAGCGAGUAAAUCUUCACGACCAGCAUCUCCACAGAUAUCACAAACCUUUACCUAUUCAGCGAAAAAAACCCCUUUCGCAUGAGAAUUAUUUCAGUGAACAAAUACUGCAACAAAGGAAGAAGUAGACGUGUUCCUAAGUUCUUCUAAUAUGAGACAAAACAGCAUUACUUACAUCAUGUUCGACCAUUUCAGAAUCAUCACUCUCGCUCUCAGACACAGCUGAUGAGUUGGACGAAGAGCUCUUACUUGACUUACCAUCCUUCCUGUUCUCUCCUGAACGCGUAGAUCCUUCAACUGAAGGUUCCUGUCUCUCUUUGUUACCCCCGGGUCUUGAUUUUUCCUUGAAAUUUCCCUUCUCAGAACUGACUCUGUCAUCAUGGUUGGAUGAUGGAUUCUGCAAAGAUUCUAAUUUCACUUCAUCUUUCCUAGAUCCACCCGGAAUUGGAUCAGAAUUGAGAGCUGAACCAUCAGCUAAAUCCUUAUUGCCAAUCUCGUUAUUAGAACAACCUGACUUCAACUGUUUGGCUCGAUCAGCAGACAAGAUCCCAUCUUCCUGGUCUUCUAUACAGUUAGAGCUCUGAUCUAACAUAUUAGCUGAUGCAGAAACUUUAUGUUUCAUCCUGCUCCCAGAAAGAGAUGGCUUAGAAGUCAUUGCAGCAGCUCCGGAAUCAUCUGAUAUCCCAGAACAUCUUAUAGUUUCCUUACUCUCAGCAUUCUCAGAGAGAGCAUCAUGACUGGAAUUGACAAGAUUGCUUGCUUCACUAGCAGUGUUAUUUAAACUCUUGUGAGCAUUAACCAUAGAAGAAGGCAAAAGAUCAUCCUCGUUUACAGAACACUGGCUGCCCACUACUCCAUGACAGUUUUCAUCUGAUGACUCGUCCAACUUUGAUCCUGUGAAACCAACAUUACGGUGCAUGCAUGAUGAACAAGGAGCAGAACAAACAUUACAAGUUCCAGACUCCACUUUUGAAAAACCUCUCUGACCCAUUUGGCGCUUACCAACUCUUCUAUCAGCCUGCAGGUGAUAUAACAAAAUAGAAGCUGUUAAAGAGAUUUAGAAAAAGGAAACAAUAAUCAAAGGAGUGAAUUCGAUAGUUAACUGGUCCAUAUAGUAACAAAGUCUAGUUCUAGCAAUAGCAAUAUAUCAAUCAAAAGUUCAACGAUCAAGGGUUCAUGAUCUAGUGACCUCAUGAAAAAGAGAUAAUACAGCAACAAGAAAAAGAGAGAUUUAGCUAAUCUCACCAUCUUCAAUUAAAUUAAAUUUCCUGACUUGCCAAACAGAUUUCUAUCCAGCCUUGCCACUGUUACAAAUGGACAAAGAACAUAUCAAAAACGAGAUCAUCAAGCAGCUAAACAACAAAUUUCCAAUUUUAAACCAAACCCAGAAAAGAAAUCACGAAUUACCAAUAGAAAUCAUCAAUCAAUCACCAAUAAAAUCUCAUAGAGAAUCGUAACCAAUUUCUUAAUAUGAGAACGAACCCAUAAAACACGGAAUCUUAAAGAUAAUUUUUUUAUCAAAAAAAAAAAAUCCUAAAAUUGGGAGAUAACAUUACAUGAUUCAGGUCUCAAAAUCAUCUCCCCCUUGAAUUCGCUUCCCUCACCAUCUCCAUCAACCUAUUGAGAAACACGAAACCCUAAUUUCCCUCUCCAACUCCUACAAACCCUAACUUAUCUCUAUAUCCAGAUUUGAUUUGACAAAUAUCUAUCUUUCUAUCUUUCCUUCACUGGUCUAAGAAAGAUUCAGUGAUGGCUCUCAAGUUUUCUUCUCGAUUUUUGGCCUUUCCUCGUGAUAUACACAAAACAACACGAGCCAGAGAUGAAAACUGUAGAUAUAUACCUCUCAGGAUCUAUACGCCCGCAUAUACACAUAUACAUAUAUAUAUAUAUACUGAGUCAGUCGUAUAAAAUUUCUACAAUAAAUUAUUUGUUAUGACGAAUAUUUGUUGGAUUAGUCUCACAAUGUAUUAAGAGCUUUUAAACAUGGUUACUUAUUUAAUUACUACAGUAACUAAUUACCUUUUUAUCUUUGUCUCUGUGUCUGAUUCCUCUUAACCCUUUUCUAAACGCGGAGAAGAAGAAUCUGACUCCCUUAUUUAUCCCUUUUUUCUCUCUUUUUGAAGUGUUCUUUUUUUGUUCUGCUAAUUUCUCAGAAAAUUCUGAGAUAUUUUGUGUGCAUUUAAUAUGUAAAAUAAUCACUAAUAUAUAAAGUAUUAUUAUGUAAAUCUUAAGAAAUUUAGGAACAUUAUUAAAUUGCUAUUUAAUAUUUAUUUAGGAAGACUUUAAGAUUACAUUUCCAUUAUAAGCUUUUUCUCUAGUUAAAAACAUGUGUGGUCUUUAUUUGGUCAAAACUUGAUUUUGAAUCUUUUUAUUAAAAUGGCCAACUAAUUACACCCCUAUUAAAAUGAGAACACCAACUCACAUAGAAAGAACACCUAAAUUAAAAAAGGGUAUGCAUGUUUUUUUUUACAAAUAAAAAUAAGAAAAAAACGAAAUAAAAAUGAAAAUAAGAGAAGAAUAUAUGUAGUAUUCAAUUUAUAAACCGCUCCAAUUCCGGUCUAGUCUGGUUUAGUUUUGAGAUUCCCUAUCUGUGACCGGGUCACGAAUUUUCCCGCCAAAAAGAGCGGCACGAGAAGCAGUCGCGUUAAAACCCUAAGAAACUUCGUCGUUUUCGAUUGCUCCACCAACCGAUAAUUCUCCCAUGGCACCCUCCGGCACCGUCGCCGAUCCUCCGCAAUGUUCAACCACCGAUUCAUUCAAUUCCAGCGACACAGCAGAGAAUGAUAUUCGGGUCCCUUCUCUCUCUCUCUCUCUCUAUCUCCGUCAAAUUUUGUUUGAUUACUCUUCACUGAAGCGAGAAGAAAAAUCAAAGUUUGAAUUUUUCGUUCUGAGCUGGUUAUGAUAUAUUCCUCUUUUUCAUGGCAGCCAUUUUUUGUACUUCACAAGGCUUCGUCUGGUAAUCACAAUGGGAAAUUAACUGGGAUUGUGAAAAGCAAGCGGAGGAUCGAAUCACCUUCACCUAAAAUUGCUAAAAGAUCUGAGGUCGAAAGCGUGGAAGAGGAAGAUGGCCAGUUUUUCUCAACUCUUCGCUUUAAAGUUUUCGAGACUGUCUGGUCGAAAAUCGAGAAAACAAUUGAAGUCAGUCUCAAUCUCCUCUCUCUAAAUUUCUCUCAGUGUGUUUGAAAUCUUCAAAGUUAGUGUUUUUAUACACCAUGAUAAAGUAGCAUUGUAACUUUUCUGAAUUGCAGGAUGUCCUGAGAAAUUCGAACUCUAAAGUAUUUAGUGGGAUUCAUGAUUGGAUACGGGAAUCAUUUGAAUCGAUCAUAUCAUCUGGAGCACUUAAGUUAUCGGAAGCAGUUCGAUCUUAUCCUGUUUUAACUCAAGCUUCUUCUAAGCAAUUGCUUACUGCAAUGGUUCUCACCAGUAAGUCCUUUAAAGACUUAGUGUCUUGACUUAUGACUUUUGGAUGAUGUUUUGAUGGGUUACGAAACUUUCAUAUUUACAAGCAACCAGUUGCAAUUACUUGGCUUCUUCUUAUAAGGUAAUUUUAUAUUGUUGUCAGGGAAUCUGGAAAUGGUUGAUGAUUUAUUGACAUUUGAAGAACUGGAGUUGCACUUGAAGUCUCAAGGAUGUCAUGUGGCUAAGCUUUCAUCUAUGGACUUCUCAGCCAAGAGUGGUGUAGGAGGUUGCCUUAGAGGUUUGUUACGCCAGUUUGUGAUGCCAACCGUAGAUGUUAGUAAAUCUGCAUAGCCUUCCAUAUCCUUUAGUUUUGUGGGCUACUUGAACAAUAAUUGUAUCCACUGAGUCAUUUUCUUCACUAUGCGAAUUUUGAACAGGUGGCUGAUGUGACCAUUCUCGCAUCAUGGUACAGAGAAAACAAAAACCAUGAGAAUCCCGUGGUUAUAAUUGUGGAUGAUACAGAGAGAUGCUGUGGUCCUGUACUGUCGGAUUUAAUUCUUAUAUUAAGGUAUUAGUUCAUCUUUAUGCUUGCUACGUUUGCAUCAUAUCAUGUUGAACUUUAUCUACUUCCACUUUUGUCAUUACCAUAUCAGAGUGUGGUGACCUGCUCUUUCAUUUUUUCUUGUCAGCGAAUGGGCAAUCAAAGUUCCAAUUUUUCUGAUAAUGGGUGUGUCCACAGCACAUGAUGCGCCUAGAAAGAUAUUAUCAGUGAACGCGCUGCAGAGACUUUGUGCUACUAGGUUCACUUUGAGCUCCCCGGCUGAACGGAUGGAUGCAGUUCUCAAGGCUGUUUUCUUAAAGCCGUGUUCUGGGUUCACUGUUAGCCAUAAGGUGGCACUUUUUAUGAGAAGUUACUUUUUGUGUCAAGAUGGAACACUGACAUCUUUUGUUAGAACUCUCAAGGUUUCAAGCUCUAUUCUUAAUGCUGUAUUAGGUUUUAACCCUGUUUCGGAUUGCUAACUCUUUGUUAUUCAUUUGGCUAUACAUUCUUUUCUCAGAUAGCCUGUCUACAACAUUUCUCAUUAGAGCCUUUAAGCAUCAUGCUCGAGCACUUUUGUCAUGAUGGUGUUAAUCAGGUAUUCUUGAUGCACCUGUCUAAAACUUCCAUAUUUUGUUACAGAACCUUCAACUUUCUCAGAUAUCAUAUUUGACUUUGGUUAAGUUGGCACUGCCAUUUCUAUAUUAGCGUAGUUGAUAACAAAGAACUUUAGUUCAUGCUUCGCAUAUUAAGAAUCUAUGUAUAUUACUAAGAGUACAUAUGUAUUUAUGUCAAGAAAUUAUCGAGGAUCUUUGGUCAUCUAGAACAGUAGCCCUUUUUGUCGUAAAUUUUUUAUAAUAAAGCCCGCUUUGUUCUAAGGAAAAUUUUACCUGUAAAGCUGUCAGGUGAAGGCACUGAACUAUUGACAGAAGCAACAAUGAAACAUGCCUUUGACUUGCCAUCUGUGACGAGGUACCUCAGAGAAUUUCACUACUUUUAUUAUGUUUUAUUUCCACUAUUUGUAUGGUUGAAGAACUGAUGGGCAUGUUAGUGGCUUUGGACUUCUAUGACAAGGUUUAAUCCUUGUUGGACCCUGUAAUUAUAGGAAAUCAGAUACACUAAUUUCGGCUCAUAAACGUUUUACUAGGAAUAAAAUUACUCGGAGUACAUUUGAAAUGCUACCUCAUUUUUUGUUGGACUUGCAAAGGAUGCCAAACCCCUGGAGCAUAGUAGUUUUGGUGAGUUCUCUCUAAAAAAAUUUAACAGUUCAUCAUCGUAGAAAGAGCCACUUCAUUGUCUUACAUGACUCAGGGAUGCCAUUGUCUGUUCAAAAUAAUUUCUCAGUUUAUCAACAACUUGGAUAGGAAAACCUGUUUUAUUGGGCAGAGAAAUAUUUUGGAACUUUCACUUUCUGUUCUCCGCUUGGAUGAAUAUUGAGUUUUAUAGAUACACUGUUUCUUUUUCAUCUCUAGAUUGAAGGCAGUUCUUUUGUUGUAUCUAUUGAAUUAGCUUUUCUGUCAGUUUAGUUGGACUCCCAAGUCAUGAUGCAUUCAUAUUAUGCUUCUUCUAUUAUACAUCACUCGAGGAAAUAUGAGGCAGAUCGGUUUUUCAUCUGAUUAGAGUGAUUUGUGCUUUCUGGAUAAAUUAACGAGCAGAUUCUUUGUCUAUUGUUUUGCAGUGCUUAUAUGAAGCUGGAAAGUUUGAUAAACUUCGAUUGCUAGACAUAUUCUGUGAGAUACUUGACCCAGAAGCACGUUACCUGAAAUACUUUUCACCUUCGGAAAUUGUUAACUCUCAGAGUCACAAUUCAGGACGUAAUAAUGUUAUCCGACGGGUUUUGCGCAAGCUCAGGUGAGUUGUGUUGCAAUGAAGAAACGUGAAAUUUCCCCCUCACACAAUAGCUCAGGACGGUCUUAAAUUUAUGGACCGCACAUAAUUUGUCUGCUGGAUCUGUUCAUGUGGCUUAGUGUACUUAUGCUAAAUUGCAAAUUUUAAGGAACAAGAUUUUGAGGAUUAAUAAAUUCAUCUGUUCUUGAGUUAGUAGGCCUAAAAAUCGUAGGUCAUUGAGAGCUUGUGUAAAUAUCUCCGCAAGGAGCUUAGCUCAAAAGUUCUGAAACUCUUGCAUUCAAAUUUUUUCAGGGAUCUUUCACCUUCACAGCUGUCUAGCAUGUUGAAAAGUUGGGAAAAUCUCACUGCGGAGUUCACUGAGGUAUUAACUAACUAAAAUCUAUCAAGUUUUUACCCUUUCUCUUGACUUGCAUAUUUUUAAGUGAUUUUUAAUUUCAUUUGUUCUGAACUUUUUUUCUUUUGUUUUCCAGUUGUUCUUUCAUUUUCUUUGGUCUAGAGCAUCUGAAUUUUUUUCUUGAGUUAGAGAUAUCACGUAUGUGAUAUAUGUUAGUCUAUCAUCAGUUCUAAAUACAUGGUGGUUCUCGAUGAGCUAUUAACUUGUUUGUUUGUUCUCUCCUGUUAGAUCAAUGACAAAGUUAUUGAAUUGCAUCCGUUCAUGAGAGCCGUGGAAGCAGCUGGUCAGAGACAAGGACUUCCUAACAGCCCAAAGUAAAUCUCUAGAUAUUGUUGUCUUUUCAAACCAAACAACAUGUCAGAUAAUUUCUUGUUUUUCUUUUUAAUAUUCGGCUUACCUCCAGCAGAUCUUCUUGGCAAGAUAGUCUCUUGAAAUAUAUUUUCAAUUGUCCCCAUCGUUCUUGUGUAUGGGAAAAGAUAGAUGAGGAAACUUAGUGUCUUAUUCAGCUGAUAUAUAAUCAUUACUACAUACAUAAGUUCAUCUACUCGUUAGUUUCUGUUGCUCAUGAAGUGGUACUUUGAUGUGACAGAAAGCAUGCAUCUCGAAGCAAUUCAAAGCUUGAAAAAGAGCUUAAAGCCAUGACUGAUAAGGUUGCCACAGUCAUAGAAUUCAUGCUAAGGUGAACUCUAUUUUGUCAGUCUUUUUAUCUCCAAGGAGACAACUUGUUUUUGAACUUGACAUUGCUUGUAUAUGGCUUUUGAUUUGCUGCCGUCAUUUAAAACGUUGCCAUGUUAGAUUAUGUACACGUCUUGAGAAUUAAUCACAGCCUUUUGUAUGGAACAGGGAAUAUAUGAAGCCAGUUGAGAGUGUUCCUUUCCACGAAAUUUUGUGUUUCAAGAAUGUCGAUAAACUUCAAUCUGUAAGUCGUCAGCAUCCUUCUUCCUCUCGGAUUCACUUAUAUUUACAUUACUUGGAAGAUUUAUAAUAGAUAAUUAAUUGUUAAUUGUUGCUCCCGUGGUAUCAUUCUCAUCAACUAUCUUAAAGCAAACCGGUUACAAGAUCAGUUCUGAGAGAGUCUGAGCAUUUUCUUUUUUUAACUAAUUCAUAGAAUGAUUGAUGUGGUGCUUAAAAUUUUACAUAUGGCCUUCUCUCUCUUCCUCCUCUUAAUUUGAUAUUUAUAUCUGUUUUAGGCUUUACUUGGAGACCCGAGAGGCAGGAUCCAAUUAGAUCUACUGGAAUCUCACGAUAUCCUCCACUGUGUGUGCUGCAGCCAGAGAGGCACAACUCUACUGCCUUCCAUGCAUGAUACAUCGAUUUUGUGAGCAUUCAUUUACUUUUAUACACUUGCAUUCUCAUGUUGUCUUUGUUGAAACAAUUCUUCCGGUAUUACUUUUUCUUGUCGAGUAUAUGAUUUGAGAGAUAAUCGGCGAGGCAAACGAUCUUCAAACACGCAUAUACACGAUACACAUGAACACAUACUGUCUUCUUUCUCCUUUGUUUGUUUCAAUAUGUGUUGCACUGAAAAGCUUUGUGAUAAUUGAUAAUAUAGGUAUAAACUGGCGCAAGAGCACGCUGAUGUCAUUAACCUCCAUGACUGGUAUCAAUCUUUCAAGACGAUACUUAUUCCCCGGAGUAGCAAGGCUAAACAAAAAUCUAAGUCAUCUUCAAAAUCAAAGAAACGGAAGGAAAUAUGCGAAGAACCAGAAGCACCCGCUGAAGCUUUAAUUCAGUAUCCUUUUUUGGUUAAGAUUAGUAAUCGGUGAUCCACCAAUGUUCAUCCUUUUGUAUUUGUUCAUUUUGCAGGACAUUUACAUAAAUGCAGACGACCAAAAUUUCGUAACUUAUCAUAUAAUAAUUUUGAUUCCUUAACAUUUGAUUCCAACAGAGCUCGAUUUUGCAGAGCUGUGAUGGAGCUUCAGAUAACAGGACUUAUUCGCAUGCCUUCAAAAAGACGUCCAGAUUUUGUGCAAAGAGUGGCUUUUGGUUCUUAAGAAUAGUUUCAAUACUUUAUUCCAUUGUAAGUGUACUUUAAUCAAUAUGUGUUCUGUGUUCAUAACCUGUUUCCAUGAAUCUAUUCAGAGUCAUCCGUUUAUAGAGAAUAGAACUGGCGUUAAAAAGAAAAAAAAAACACUGAAUUAUCUUAAUAUAAACAGAAUCGUAAAACUCAUCUUUCAUGAAUCUGCUAAGACGUAGCUGAGACUUGUCAACACACGUUAGCUCUUAACCCUUUCUUUUUCCAUAGUUGAAGUUUCAAAACCAUGGGAAAGUCUUUCUGUGUAAACAUUUUCAAGUCUCCUCCCUAAAGAACCUGUGACUUGCGAAGUCUUUAGAAUUCCCCAGCUUUGAGUUUUGGCUACCCUCUGCCCUUAUUUUCUAUUGAACUCCCUAAAAUCACAAAAAGUCAAUAGUAAUCUUGGUCACGACUUGUCUCUGAUACCAAUGUUAUCAUCCAUGUCUUAAUCAGCUUAAUUUUUGCACACACUUAAUACAACGUGUAAUUUGUUUUCUUGUUUUAUGAAAUUAGUAUAGAAACAGAUUUUUACUGUUGAUUACAAUAAUGUAAUCGCUUUAUGUAAUACAUUACUUUUGACAUGUUUAAAAGUAUCUUUGAAAAUUCUCGAGAAAAUAUACACCUUUGAUUGAUAAAUUAUAACUAACUACAUUUAUUAUCCGGUCGAUUACUGUUUUUUUUCUUACAGUUAAUUCUAUUUGUUUUCUCUUCAAUUAUUUUAUUUUGUUGGAAAAAAUCUUUAACCAUAUUGAACACGUAUUAUCUGCUAAAAACCAGAAACUAAACCAACUUCUUUGCCAUAUAAAGUACGAAUCAAAUUCAAAUUUCAAAGUAAUCAAAAUCAAAAAAUAAGAACACACAAUAAUGGCGAGAUCCUUCUAUUUUUGUUUAUUCUUCUUAUUCAUUUCUUCAACAUCAAAGCUAACCACAAGCUAUCCUCUCUCCACAAAGUCACGAUGGAUCGUGGACGAGAAAGGUCAAAGGGUGAAGCUAGCAUGCGUGAACUGGCCGGCUCAUCUCCAGCCCACGGUGGCUGAAGGGCUAAGCAAACAACCAUUAGACUCUAUCUCCAAGAAGAUUGUGUCAAUGGGAUUUAACUGCGUUAGGCUUACUUGGCCUCUUGAUUUGGUGACUAAUGACACAUUGGCUCUUAAAGUUACCGUUAAACAGUCUUUCGAAAGCUUGAAGUUGUUUGAAGAUGUUCUUGGGAUUCAAACUCACAAUCCCAAAUUACUUCAUCUUCCCCUUUUCAAUGCAUUCCAGGUAAAUUUAAUGAUAGAGCAUCGGUUUGUUCGAUCUGAAUUGUGCCAAACUAAACCGGGUUAUGUUCAUUAGAUGGACUAAUAUCUAAACGUGAUCUAAUUCGAAACAACAACAAAUUAACCAAAAUUGAUCGCAAAAGAACCUAGUCUAGCUAAGGGACAAUAUAAACCAAAAUCAAACCAAUUCCCAUUUGCUAAAUUUAACAAACAAAUAAGUGACAUAUCAUCAAUUCAUUGUCAAAUGGUUUUGAUGUGAAACUGAUAUAUGGUUACUGUUAUUAUAUGUUGUCAGGAAGUGGUGUCGAACUUAGGAGAAAACGGAGUAAUGGUGAUACUAGAUAACCACUUGACAACGCCAGGCUGGUGCUGCGGCGAUAAUGACCUCGAUGCUUUCUUUGGCUACCCUCACUUUGAUCCCCUCGUCUGGGCCAAGGGCUUGAGGAAGAUGGCUACUCUUUUCCGCAAUUUCACUCACGUUAUUGGCAUGAGCCUUAGGAACGAGCCACGUGGUGCUAGAGAUUACCCUGACCUUUGGUUCAGGUACAUAUUGCUAAUUUUAAAUAUAUAAAUAUUCAUAAAAGCUACUUUUGAUUCUACACCUUAAAACCCCAGACUCACUCACAUACAUUAUAAAGAUAAUUUAGUAUCUAUGAAUCUAUCCAACAAACAUGAAUCUACGUUUAACAACCGACAAUUCUCAAAAUUCUCACACAUAAAAAAAUUAGUACAUGAAGUACAUGUUAAUUGAGUUAGUUUUCACUUUUCACCAUUCGCUAUUGUUUCCACACAAAAAAUAGUAUUGUUUGAUUGUUUAUAUUGUUCACGUUAUCGUGGUAAUUAAUUGCAUGCAUGCAUGCGUUAAUGGUUACGUGAAGGCAUAUGCCGCAAGGAGCAGAGGCGGUGCACGCCGCAAACCCUAAAUUACUAGUCAUCCUCUCAGGCAUUGACUUCGAUACAAACCUCUCUUUCCUCCGUGACCGUUCCGUGAACGUCAGCUUCACGGACAAACUUGUCUUCGAGCUCCAUUGGUACAGUUUCUCCGACGGCCGAGAUUCGUGGAGAAAACACAACUCUAAUGAUUUCUGCGUCAAAAUUAUCGAAAAGGUUACACACAACGGAGGAUUCUUGCUUGGAAGAGGCUUUCCUUUGAUCUUGAGUGAGUUUGGGACGGACCAGAGAGGCGGUGACAUGAGCGGAAACCGGUAUAUGAAUUGUUUGGUGGCUUGGGCGGCCGAGAAUGAUUUGGAUUGGGCGGUUUGGGCCUUAACCGGAGAUUAUUAUUUGAGAACCGGUAAAACGGAUUUAGAUGAGUCUUAUGGCCUUUUGCAAGCCAAUUGGAAGACAUCAGAAACUCUACUUACUUGCAAAAACUCUCCGGAAUCCAACAUGCCUUUAAAGGUCAGAUCAGUUUUUUUUCUUCUUAAUCACUUAAAAGAAAAAAAAACUCAAACUUUAAGACUCGUAAUUGAUUAUAUAUCCAGGACCUGGAUUGCGACCCAACAAGAACCUUCUCUUCCAUCCAUCAACAGGACUCUGCGUCACUAAUAAUCCAUCAGACAAUAUACCAACACUUCGAUUAGGACCAUGCCCUAAAUCCGACCCAUGGACCUUUAAUCCCAGUGAAGGCAUUCUUUGGAUCAACAAAAUGUGCGUCGAAGCUCCAAAUGUUGUUGGACAAAAGGUGAAGCUCGGAGUUGGUACCAAGUGUUCUAAGUUGGGACAAAUCUCAGCUACAAAGAUGCAUUUGUCGUUCAAGACAAGUAAUGGUUUGUUGCUAUGUCUUGACGUAGACGAACGUGACAACAGCGUCGUAGCUAACCGUUGCAAGUUUUUGACCAUGGAUGCUUCUUGUGAUCCAGCGAGCCAAUGGUUCAAAGUUCUUUGAAUUCUAUGUCUUUAUUAUGGAGAACAUGUAUUUGACAUUUGUAAUCAAGACUACCACUGAGCAUAUUCAAGAAAUCAUUUUUUUUAAAAGGCUAAAAGACUUUAACAGUAAUGGGCUGAGAAUAUAAAGAGAUUGAGGCCCAUGUUGGUCUUCACUUGAUUAUCUUAUAUUUCGCCACGUGUCAGUCAACUUAGCCACUGAGAAUUUGCUGAUUAUCUGAGUCAUGAGCCAGUUGACUAGUUGGAAAUUAAACCACUGCGAAAAAUAUGAUAAGCCUUAGGUUUCAACCAAGCACCACCGCCGGUGUUUUAUCGGCGUCAGUGAGCCGCGCCGGUUUUAUCAAGCGGUGCGGUUCGACUAAACCGGGAAGGGUUGGCCGGUUUGUUACAAUGGCGACGGCGGCGAGUCCUCUUGAAAUCUGCGUUAAAGCUUCUAUCACCACUCCCAACAAGCUCGGAGACUGUUAGUUUUCUCUCCGUAAACUUUGAAAUGUUGAUGAUUAGCUGCAAUUUGAUCCCUCUUUCACUCAAUUUCGAAUUGGAGAUAGAUAAUUUGUGUUAGCUCCAUUGGUGCAGAUAGAUACUUAGACUUAAGAAUUUGAGGAUUUCGUGUCAAACUUAAUUGGUGUUUAGAUUGUUUCUUAAUUUCGAAAACUGAAACUAUUCAAAACAUACUUUUAAGGUUUAAUAAGCUAACACGAUUGCUUCUAUGUUUGUGGCGAGUACUGGUUUUGAAGUAUAUUUUUUCUCAGUGAGUUGAUUAUAUGCAUAAUUUUGUUGAUAGGCCCUUUUUGCCAAAAGGUGUUACUGACAAUGGAGGAGAAGAAUGUUCCUUAUGACAUGAAAAUGGUGGAUUUGAGUAACAAACCAGAAUGGUGAAUUCUUGGAUUCUUUCCAUAACGUGCCUGAAGUAGACAUGAUUCUUGAUUAAUGGCAGUGAUUUCCUUAGUUUUUUCAAUGGGUUGUGUUCUUGUUUAUUGUUUAUUAGGUUCUUGAAGAUUAGUCCAGAAGGUAAAGUCCCAGUUGUGAAGUUUGAUGAGAAAUGGGUUCCGGAUUCAGAUGUUAUAACACAGGCUUUAGAAGAGAAGUAUCCUGAGCCUCCUCUUGCUACCCCACCUGAAAAGGCUUCAGUGUAAGCAUUCCUUCUUCUUUUUUUCGGUCUUAUGAUGCACUUGUUUUUGUGCAAUUGACCUUCUAGUGUUCUUUGUUGAAAAAGGGUUCAUUUGACAACUUGCAUACUUCCAGCUAAGAAUUUGCGUGUGGACGUUUAAUUCUUUAAUUUAUGUCUGUUUCUGCAGUGGAUCGAAGAUCUUUUCCACAUUUGUCGGUUUUCUGAAGAGCAAAGAUUCAGGAGAUGGAACUGAGCAAGUUUUGUUGGAUGAGCUUACUACAUUCAACGAUUAUAUCAAGGACAAUGUAAGCUCUUUUGGUUUUGAUCUCUUGUAUAUCCUUAAGUAAUAGUUGUGAUGAUCUUAGAGUAGAUUAUUCUGGCUGUUGAUUGAAACAUAUAUUUACUUCUCUAUCUUCCAUAAUGUGAAGGGCCCUUUCAUAAAUGGAGAGAAGAUCUCGGCAGCAGAUUUGUCCUUGGCACCAAAGUUAUACCACAUGAAGAUUGCAUUGGGACAUUACAAGAACUGGUCUGUUCCAGAUUCACUUCCUUUCGUCAAAUCCUACAUGGAGGUAAAUAAAUGUCAGAAAAACCGAGCUAGUCCUUUCGAUGUUAUUCUGAACAACCACAUUCUUUUUUGGAUUUAUUUUCAUUCGGUUAAACCAACUGCACCAUAAUGAUUUACAGAAUGUUUUCUCGAGGGAAUCAUUCACGAACACACGGGCGGAAACAGAGGAUGUAAUUGCUGGUUGGAGACCAAAGGUUAUGGGUUAAGAGAUUUUGAUGUUGACCUCAAGCUUCCUUGUCUUCUACUAAAUGUAAAAAACAUAAUAAUCAAAUCUUCUUCAACUGUUACCAAUGAUAUAUACCUUGAAUCCUUGAUUGCUUAUAUGAUGAAAACUAUAUUGUGUCAUAGUGGGGAAGCUUGCAUAUAAGUUUUAAUGUACCGACCAAUCACUACUAAAAUUUUGAACCAUCUGCAAAUUAUUUACCGUAAGCUACAGAGCAAUUAGACGACCAUUGAAAGAACAAUAAUUACGGAAUACCCUUCCCGUCAUCCAUUCCUUCCCUCCUCCGCCUUAAACCCCUACCAUUUUGUGUCACUAGCAGCUUAUCUUUAUUUUCCUGGGAAUUUCAAAUUCUUUUCUCGCCCCAGAUUUUCUCGGGAAUCUCUGUCGGGCGUUUUCUUCAGAAUCUGCCAUGAUUCUCAAAACGGCUUUUUCUCUACCCACACCUACUACUACUCUAUUAUCUCCCAGCUCUCCUCACCAGCUCAACACUCUGUUCUUCACUCGCCGACGCCGUCGAUUAAUUUCCCCAUCCCGCUUGAACUCAAUUUUCUCGCAACGUAGAUUCUCUUUCUCUGGUACGUUCCUCGCUAUUUCUUUUCUCCAGUGUCGAAUUCUGUUUCCAAUCGAUUUUGUUGGAACUUCUCUUCUGUUACAGUAAAAAUUUAUUCGAAUUCCUCUUUUGUAUUCAGCUGCUGCGUCAGGAAAUAAUGUAUUUACUUCUCCCGAGACAUCCAAGACCUUUGAUUUUUCUUCGGAGGAGAAGAUAUACAAAUGGUAAAUAUUCUACUCGUGAGUUAAUGGAAUUAUUAUGAGUUAAGAUAUAUCACAAUGCAAAUAAAAAGUGUCUCAUUCUUCCCAAUGUAACCUAUGGGAACAUGGAUUUCUUGUGAUAAUGCUGAUGAUCAUUUGGAUUUGGGCAUUUUUAGGUGGGAGUCGCAAGGCUACUUCAAACCAAAUUUUGACCAAGGAGGCAGUCCUUUUGUGAUACCGAUGCCACCUCCUAAUGUUACUGGUUCUCUGCACAUGGGCCAUGCAAUGUUUGUCACUCUUGAGGUUGUGGAAUCCAUAUUGAGAAUAAUUCACAGUCAUUUGGGUAUUCUAAUUUAUGUUCCUAUUUUCGUUUAACCUUUUUAGUUUGUUCGUCUAGCUUUAGCUCGUAUAUACUAGGCGCUUUCCACACUUCUUAAGUUGGCUUGAAAUAUUGUUUAGUAAUUCCAUGUUUUCUUUGUGCUGUAACUGUGUUAUACUAUAGUUCUGCUAUUCUCAUCGCUUUUUUGUUUUUUACAGGAUAUUAUGGUUCGAUACAAUAGGAUGAAUGGGAGACCAACACUUUGGCUUCCCGGGACUGAUCAUGCUGGUAUUGCCACUCAGGUUCAUUUCCUCGUUCAAAUUUCAAGCUUUUUUGCAUGGUAUUUCUACUAGUGUUUGCGUGUUUGUUUUGUGCUCACUAUGAUUCUUACAUCUUCUUCUUCACAAUCCAUUGCUCUUGUUCCUAUACCAAUCUACCACAUUUACUUUGUCAAAAAGUUCUUUUCUUGUAGAGUAUAAUUUGUAUAGAUAAUAUUUGCAUUGUUUGGUGAAUGUUUCUGAAAUAUUCUACUGAAGCUGCAAUAUUUCUUUCAGUUGGUCGUGGAAAAGAUGCUAGCGUCAGAAGGCAUUAAGAGAGUGGACUUAGGUAGAGAUGAGUUUACCAAAAGAGUCUGGGAAUGGAAGGAAAAGUAUGCUGUCUAAUCACUGCAAUGAAUAAAUUCAAAAUAUCUAUUUCAAAAGUAUCUGUAUGAUACUCUGGCGGUGUUUCCAUUCUUCGAACGAGUCAUAAGUUAUUGAUCUUCUGGAAAACUAUGAAGUAUUUUAAGCAGGAGAUGAUUCCUGUACAUUUCUUAUAAUUGAGUAAUCUGAUGUUCCUGAACCAUUCCAAAGGCCAAUGCUUUCAUUAAAAGAUAAAAUCCACUGUACUUGUAUCUGAUGUGUUAAGGGUAAGGCUGGAAUUAUAGUUUGUGUGGUUUUUCUCAGGUAUGGCGGAACCAUCACAAAUCAGAUUAAAAGACUGGGUGCUUCUUGUGAUUGGAGUAGAGAGCGCUUUACUCUUGACGAGCAAUUGAGUCGUAAGGCAUCUUUCAUAGUUUCCAUAUCUUCUAGAUGGUGAUUCUUAAAGCAGACCAUAGGUGGUGCUCAAAGUUGACUUUAUAUGAUUUUGAGUGGUAUUUUGGAAUUCAAAAACUUCGGCAAGUAAAAUAUUAUUCAGUUGUUAGGUGGUUCAAAAAGUUUCUCGUUGCUCUUAAUUUCAAAUUGUAUGUACUUUCACCUUGAAUUUAUUCCUUGAUUCUCUUUUACCUUGAAUUUGUAGGAGCUGUGGUCGAAGCUUUUGUGAAGCUUCAUGACAAGGGGUUGAUAUAUCAAGGUAAGCUAUUAUGAAUUUAUGUAUUUUGGUUUCUGUUGUCGUAGCUGUAAGUAGAGCUGUGCUGUACUCAUACGACUAUUGGUGAUUUUGGCAUAAUGUUUUUCCAGGAUCUUACAUGGUCAACUGGUCCCCAAAUUUACAGACUGCUGUUUCAGACUUGGUGUGUGAUGUAUUUUUAUCUAACACUCUGUUGUUUGAUUACUUUUUUUUUCUUUCUAAAAGUGACUGCCUUGUUCUUACCAGGAAGUAGAAUAUUCGGAGGAACCUGGGUUUCUAUACCAUAUUAAAUACCGUGUAGCUGGAAGGUACUGUCCAACUACCAGUACUACCUUCGCCUUUCCUUAUACUUUGUAUUUUAUGGACCCUUAUAUGUAGCAAAAUUAUGUGAAAAGAUAAUUUUUUCUCACAUCAAUUUGAUUAUGCUCUGCUAUUAGAGAGUUCAAAGAAGCAUUAUAGUGUUUGAAAAACGUAUCUUAUGGAGGCUUUAGAUUAUGUCGUAUGAUCAUUAAAACUUGUGAAACACAGCGUUGGGUCUGUAAGAGUUGCUUCGGCAGUAGUUAACCUUAAAUUUUGCUAGCAAAUUAUUCUUGGAAGAUCAGUGACUACUUUUGUUCUGUUUAUGGAAAUGGCUAAUCUGAUCUUUCCUCGUACAGUCCUGAUUUUCUUACUAUAGCAACGACUCGUCCAGAGACAUUGUUUGGUGACGUGGCCCUUGCCGUGCAUCCUGAGGUAGGUGGUGAUAUUUUUUUGGUUUCGUUGAUAAUAGGACAUCGGGAAUGACAGAUGGCAUUAUCAAAGUCUGUUUGACGUGUUUAUAAUUUUUGAAUACACACAGAGCUCAGUUAACAAACUUAGAAGCAAGUUUUUUUUUUUGAUAAAAACUUAGAAGCAAAUUUAAUAUUAGGGAGGAAAAGUAUAUAAUGUGUAACACAUUUUAUUUUCUUCUUCCUUUUGUGGUUUUCAUUUAUAUUUCUAUUAUGUAAAAUUUAAAUGAAAUUGAAAAUGUAGUCCAGGUAGUUUGUCAGGUUGCUGGUCCAAUUUAAUGUAAGCAGAUGUAAUCUACAAAGUAGAUGCUGAUUUUUUUGGAUCUCAUGUGAAUGUAGAUCGUCUUCUAGUCGUUUCCUGGAAUAGGUGCUCUUUUUUGGGUAUCGUUUGAGGAUUAAUGUUGUGAAAUGUAUUUGGCAUCUGGCAGGAUGAUCGUUACUCAAAAUAUGUUGGUCAGACAGCAAUUGUACCUAUGACAUAUGGUCGUCAUGUCCCAAUUAUUGCUGAUAAGGUGAACUCCGAUCUACUGCCUAUGCACUCUUUAUGAUGUCUUUUAGGAUCAAAUAUCUUUUUCAAGUCCAACAAGGAAAACGCUGCAGUUGUUUUUCUUUGCCAUUUUUCGUGCUUUAAGUAUCAGUAUUUUGCUGGGAAACUUCUAAGUUCUAGUUACUCAGAACCAAGAAACUGAGUACCUCAUAGUAUUUCCUCUGCUGCUCUUCAGGCAUUUCUCAUCAGUUUUUUUGUGUACCAUGGCAGUAUGUUGAUAAGGAUUUUGGGACUGGUGUUCUGAAGAUAAGUCCUGGGCAUGAUCACAACGAUUACCUUCUUGCAAGAAAGCUAGGUCUCCCCAUUCUGAAUGUGAUGAACAAGGAUGCAACACUUAAUGACGUCGCUGGCUUGUUUUGGUAACAUUUUGUUUAAAACUUAUAUUUUAGCUGAAUGGAAUACCCUUUGGUUACAUCUUAACGUCCAUGGCGCCUUAACAUACAUCGUAUUUUCAGUGGCCUUGACAGGUUUGAGGUGAGGGAGAAACUAUGGGCAGAUCUUGAGGAGAUAGGUUUAGCUGUUAAGAAGGAGCCUCACACUUUACGAGUUCCAAGAUCUCAGCGUGGUGGAGAAGUAUCUUUCUACUGACCCAGCAUUAAUUUUUCAGUUCGUUUGAAGUUCAUAAUUUUCUCAUGCAUGGUUUAACUGGUGUUAGGUUAUUGAGCCACUUGUAAGCAAACAAUGGUUUGUCCACAUGGAUCCUUUAGCUGAGAAGGCUCUUCUUGCUGUUGAAAACAAAGAACUUACUAUCAUACCUGAGAGAUUUGAGAAGGUAUGCAAGCGACUGGUUGGUGUUAUUAGUUACUGAGCUGGUAUCUGUCUUUUUCUCCUCAGUUUGGCAAAUUCUCUGAAAGGUUUUGAUUUUUGAUUGUUUACACUGCAUACUUCUGCUUUUGCUUUUAUUUCCUGUCACCACUUGCAGAUAUACAAUCACUGGCUGACAAAUAUUAAGGAUUGGUGCAUAAGCCGGCAGCUGUGGUGGGGACAUCGCAUACCAGUUUGGUAUGUGGUUGGAAAGGAUUGCGAGGAGGACUACAUAGUUGCUAAAAGUGCUGAAGAAGCCCUUGAGAAAGCCCUUGAGAAGUAUGGAAAAGAUGUUGAAAUAUAUCAGGAUCCAGAUGUUCUUGACACCUGGUUUUCCAGGUUAGUUUUUCAUUUAUUUGGAGAUUACUUUUCUUCUGUGUGUCUUUGUUUUAGAAAUAGUCACUAGUUUAAUCAUGUGAAAGUAUCAGUUUCCUCGGAAUAGUCACCAUGAAUUAGUGCGUUUCCUCAUAUAUGACGCUGAACAUAGUUUUCCUCAUUUUGCAUUAACUUCCUAUAUUAUUUAUUUAGAUGUUUUUUUUCUGCAGCUCGUUGUGGCCAUUCAGCACUCUUGGCUGGCCUGAUGUAGCAGCGAAGGAUUUCAAUAACUUCUACCCAACAAAUAUGUUAGAAACAGGGUACAUUCCUUUCUUUUUGUCGAUCAGGAAAACAAUGGCUGCUACUAUCAGGGCUAUUGUUGUAAACCCUUCACUAGGAAGAAAAAAAUUUAGGACCAACAACAAUUUUUCUGUUGCCAAGAAGGCAAGAACUAAUGUCUAAAUUAAGUAAAAUCUGAAAAGAAAAUGCGCUUUAGUUGCAGCUUGCGGUUUUGAAAUUCUCAUCACUUCCUUUAAAUAACCUUUCUCAUUUAUUUGGACAGGCAUGACAUACUAUUUUUUUGGGUAGCAAGAAUGGUUAUGAUGGGAAUAGAAUUUACAGGGACCGUUCCAUUUUCUCAUGUCUACCUUCAUGGACUUAUAAGAGACUCACAAGUAAGUGUUAGGCUUUUUGCUUGUUCUAGUAAAUGUUUUUUUUUCUUUUCUUUUCAAGACGAGGUAGCCACUCAAACCUUGAUCAUUGAGGCUUUUCAUAUCAUUAUUUCUCACUUUUCCCGAUAUGCUAUUAAACGUUAGGUAACUUCUAGGAUUUCUAUUUAAGGAUUCUCGUUCUGUAUAUCUCCAAGUAGUUAAUCAGAUUAUUUGGAAUUAUCAGGGGAGAAAAAUGUCAAAAUCUCUUGGGAAUGUGAUUGAUCCGCUUGACACAAUUAAAGAUUUUGGCACUGAUGCUCUGAGAUUUACGAUUGCACUAGGAACUGCUGGUCAGGUUUGAUCUCUACUGUGUUGAGGCAGCUGAACCAUGCUUUUUUGGGUAGGUUUAUAUUAAAAUGUCAUAUUUAUGUCUAUAUUCCUUGUUUUCCCCAUUACCUUUUUGUUAGGAUCUGAACUUAUCUACUGAGAGGUUAACUGCAAAUAAAGCAUUCACCAACAAACUCUGGAAUGCUGGAAAGUUUGUGCUUCAUAGUCUGCCUAGUCUAAGUGAUACAUCUGCUUGGGAGAAUUUGCUGGACCUCAAGGUUUGCUUGUUUUUCCAUCUCCACUAGAAAGUAUUAGGGAAUUGUGGUAUAUUUGUCCUUUCAGUGACAGACUAAGUAUGGUAUAAAGUCGAAAGUCAUUGAUAAUAUGUUUAGACUAUCUUUGUGUUUGGGAUCAUGAACCAUAAAAGUCUCACAAAAAAACGAGGUAGCUUUAAAUAUAGGAGAUUGGUCAGACCUCUUUCCAGGAGUAUCUCCACCUGCAUACCUUUUGCCAUUACUUAAAACAGCUGCAGAGUCGCAUCACAAGUGAUAAGCUACCUUAGGCUGCUCUCUUACUAUCGAUUUGUUGUGACACUUUACAAUAAGGAUUUUUUCUAACAUUUUGCUUCCUUUUUUUUUUGACAGUUGGACAAAGAGGAAACCCUGCUUAGUUUACCCUUGCCUGAGUGUUGGGCGGUAUAAUAUUUUUACCCUGAAGUUAUCCAACAGUUCAAUCUGCCUACCACCUUAUAUUCCUUUUGUAUUAUUUCAGGUGUCAAAACUCCAUAUUCUCAUUGAUUCUGUCACAGCAAGCUAUGAGAAGUUGUUCUUUGGGGAUGUAGGAAGAGAAACAUAUGAUUUCUUUUGGAGUGACUUUGCUGAUUGGUAUCACCACGUCAACUCUUAAUAACCAAUACACAUGUUUCUUGGACUUAAUUGACUGACUAGUAUACUCUAAAGGUAUAUUGAAGCCAGCAAAUCUCGACUGUAUGGAUCUGGAGGCAAUUCAGUUUCUCUAGCUUCUCAGGCGGUUUUGUUAUAUGUCUUUGAGAAUAUACUUAAGCUGUUGCAUCCGUUUAUGCCGUUUGUAACCGAGGAUCUAUGGCAGGUAACAUGCUCUCAGUUUUGCUAUCUGUGUAUUUCAUUUUUACUUAAAUUGGCCCUUAACCAUUUACUUAGGCCAACUGCACUGGGCAUGAUUUUCCUUAUACCUUAGAGUUUUUGUAGUGGCCGUUUUUUUACCAAAGCAUGCUUAAGCUGUUAUCUUUGAGUUUUUUUUUGGUAGUUUAGCCUCUUUUGAGGAUGAAAUAAAAGGACCGAAAACUUAGUUAUAUAUGGUUGAUACUUUGGUACUGCUACCAAAAAAUGAUUUCAGCUUCAUAAAACUGUAAUUAUGAAUGCAUUUAUAAUUGCAGGCACUUCCCUACAGGAAAGAAGCGCUCAUUGUGUCUCCAUGGCCACAAAAUUCACUUCCAAGGAAUGUUGAAUCAAUAAAAAGAUUUGAGAAUUUACAAGCUCUGGUCAGUAUGAAUUUUUACCUUAAUAUAUUCUGUAAACCUCAAACAGAACCAUACUUAAAGGAAUUAAUAUUUAUACUAUUAAAAGUUCAGAGCAUGUUGACACCUUGCCUGUUAAAUCACAGACUAGAGCAAUUCGAAAUGCACGAGCAGAGUAUUCAGUGGAACCAGUAAAGCGUAUAUCUGCCUCAGUUGUUGGAAGUGCAGAGGUCAUUGAAUAUAUUUCGGUCAGUAACUUGUGGCUUCCUAACAGUUAAAUUAUCUUACGAAUAAGGUUCAUCAGUUUGCCUUGUGUUUCCUUAUUAAAAACUGUGUUCUUGUGGCGGUGCAGAAAGAGAAGGAGGUAUUAGCUCUUCUAUCCAGGCUUGACUUAAACAACGUCCAUUUUUCCAAUGCCCCUCCUGGUAUAAUUAUCUUUAAUCCUUUUUUUCUCUUUUCUUUUCAUUGUUUGCAUCUUAUCUCAAUAUUUACAUUUUCGAUGAUUCCCUUGAAUCAUCAUGGUCACAACAAAACUUCACAUGGUUGGUCCUUCAGGUGAUGCAAAUCUAUCAGUCCACCUUGUAGCCAGUGAAGGACUCGAGGCAUAUCUACCUCUUGCAGCCAUGGUUGAUAUAUCAUCUGAAGUCCAACGCAUUUCUAAACGUCUCUCCAAGAUGCAAACUGAAUAUGACGCCCUCAUAACUCGUCUCAGUUCACCAAAGGUAUACCAUAACCAUCAAAAGAGUCUCUUAAACCCUUGCUAGAAAUUGUUUUCGAUAAGCUUAUUAAACAUGGUGCAUUAGUUUUAGACUCUGCUUGUUUUACAACAUUUUUAACGCUGAAAUAUGUAGUUUGUGGAGAAAGCUCCAGAAGAAGUGGUGAGAGGUGUAAAGGAGCAAGUAGAAGAAUUAGAAGAGAAGAUAAAGUUGACCAAAGCUAGGCUUGAUUUUCUCAAGUCUACUACUUCUUUAGUGUCUCAGUAAAUUCAGGUAGUUCUUAUUCUCUCAAGUUCGGACCCGACCAAUAGCGGCCCAUGGACCAUUUAAUUGUGAUCAUUUGAGUCGAUGAGACUACCUACUAUUAAUAUUUCUGUUUUUUGAGGACCCAAUUAGUUUGAAAAUGCCCCCAAAAAUGAUCAAUUGUCAACUAUUUUACCAGUCCUAUUGUCGGGGCCCAUAAUGCCUUUUAAGCAGAAAGUGGAUUUUAUUUUUAUUUUAUUUUGACAGCAGAAAGUGGAUAUAUUAUUAAUUUAUUAUAUUUGCUGGUUAUGUUACAAUUGUAUUUACUAUUAUUUAAUAGCCUCACCAACUAGGUAAAUUUUGUACCAAUAAUCAGUAAUCAGAACAACAUAGCUCUUUUCACAAAAGUUUGUUUUUGUUCCAAAAUUGAAAAAUCCAUAACCAUUUUAUUAGGUAAAUUUAUUAGGUGGUUGGGCGUAUGGUUUCGAUACAACUUGUGGUUUAGUGAGAUGCAGUUUCGUUUGGCGAAUAUUAGAGAAAGCUAAUGACAGGAAAAAAAAAAAAAAUAGUAGUAAACCCAUACCUAAAAGCAAAAGAAGCAAUAAGAAGUACUGUACCUCGCUUUAACCUCCCUUUUCCUUUUUUAUGUUUCUUUUGACAACCAAAUCUUCAUCAUCACGCUCUCUCUUUUUGCCUUUAGCCAAUUUCUCUCUCCAAUUUCCUAUUUUUUUUUUUAAUCACAUGAAAAAUGAUAACAAACCGUGAACCAAGUCACUAAACAUAAAUGGUUAAAUGGAGUUUUUUUUAUUAUACAAAACACAACAUUGCUGUUUAGAAAAAAAUUACUCUACUUUCUCAUUAACAUUGAAUUCUCAAAGGUUACGUACUACUAUUAUUUAAGCUAACCAAAAAAUCGAGGUUAAGGUUGGAAAACUUAUUCCGGUUUAGUUUAUAGUUCCGGUUCAGAUCUAAACCAACUUGAAACUAGACAAAGACAGCGUCGUUAGCGCAUGUAACCCGACAACAUCAUUCUCACUCUCUCCUCUUCUCUCUCUCUCUCUCUCUCUCUCUUCUCUCAGUCGGAAGCAGAGGAGCCAAAAUCAAUGGCGGCCAACAAUUUUGCGACGAAGCUAAGCAGAAACACCAAUAGAAUUACCGUAAUCUUGGUCUACGCAUUCCUUGAAUGGCUUCUCAUGUUCUUUAUCUUCCUCAAUUCCUUUUUCACUUACUUUAUCGUCAAAUUCGCCUCUUUCUUCGGUCUUAAGCAAGUAUGUCUUCUCUGUCCGAAGCUAGAUCGAAUCUUCGAGCGAAAGCCAGAAAACAGAUUCACUUACAAAGAGCUUUUAUGUCAAAAUCACAUCGCCGAGCUCGCUAGUCUGAGUUUUUGCAGAACUCACGGGAAAUUAUCCGAAUCGGCGAACUUAUGCUCAGAUUGCUCUAAUCGCGAAGAAGAACAGAGCAACAUUGGUUUAGGUUUUUGCACAUGUUGUCAGAAGAGCUUAGCGGAUAAACCAUACCCUAAUUACUUGCUUCUCAAGUCAUCAAUUUGGGGGAAAACUUUGGGUGACAGAGAAGAUGGAGGAUUGAUCUUAGAGAUGAUCGAUGAUGAUAAAUUUGGAGAUGGGUUUGAGAUAGAUAGAGAAUCUUAUCCCUUAGGGUUCUUCAGAGAUAAAGCAGAAGAAGGAAAGAAGCAAGACCAGCAGCAAAAUGGUGAAGUGAUUUCAGAUGUUGAGAGUUAUGGAUUAAGCUUGAGAGAAGUGUCUGAAGAGGAUGGGUUAAGAUCUAUCAUCAGCAAUAAUUCUCCUGGGAACGAAGCUAAAUCAAGAGUUUCAGAGGAUGAACAAAGGAAUGAUGACACAAGCAAUGUUGCCACAUAUGGGGAAGAUCAAAUUUCAGGUAGAGUAAGAACAUAAAUCCAAAGUCUGAAACUUUAUAUGUGUUAGUUUUCUGGGUUUUAUAGAUUCCUCAUUGUGAUCAAACAACAGGGCGUGUAGAAGAAAAAGAAGAAGAAACAGGAGUAGCAGAUUUGUUGUAUGACCAGUUUGAGAGCAAGAAUUUCACUGGUAAGCAAAAAGAAUGACUCUUUUGUUAUCGAAAAUCUCUUCAAGCAGGCCUUGUGCACAUAUGCAUACAUCUUUGGUUUGGUUUAUCUAACUUUGUGAAGCACUUUAAGUCUGAAUAUAGUUGUUUUCUUUCAUAGGUAGCCAAAUCGAAGAAGAAGAAGAAGAUAGAGAAGAAACGACUAAGGAGCUUGAUCCGGAAACUCCAACUUCAGUCAGUACUUUGUUUAACAAGAAACUUCAUUUUCUUGCUAGAAAUGAGUAUGCAGCUGCUGAAGAUGCAGGAGAUGGGAAUGUAUUAGUGAGUGAGAUGGACGGUGGCGAUCCUUUAAGGACUAUUGAAAGGUUGAGAGAGACAGUGAGAGCAGAACAAGAAGCACUGAGAGAUUUAUAUGCAGAGCUGGAAGAAGAAAGAAGCGCGUCUGCAAUAUCGGCUAACCAGACAAUGGCAAUGAUCACGAGGCUACAAGAAGAGAAAGCGAAAGUUCAGAUGGAAGCGUUGCAGUAUCAGAGAAUGAUGGAGGAACAAGCCGAGUAUGAUCAAGAAGCCUUGCAGCUAUUGAAUCAUUUGAUGGUGAAACGAGAGAAAGAGAAGGAACAACUCCAGAGAGAACUUGAGGUUUAUCGGGCAAAGGUUUUGGAGUAUGAAUCGAAAGCUAAGAACAAGAUCAUCGUUGUGGAAAACGAUUGUGAGGCUGAUGAUGAUGAUAAAGAGGAGGAGAAUAGAGAAGAGGAUAAUUCUUCUGAGAUGGAUGUGGAUUUGGAGAAGAUAACAUUAGAUUGCGUACAACAUAUGAGCAUGCUUGGUGAAUCUUUAUCAGAGUUUGAGGAAGAGAGGUUAGUGAUUUUGGAUCAGCUUAAGGUGUUAGAGGAUAGGCUAGUAACAAUGCAGGACAAGGAAUCUGCUGAGGAUCCGGGAGAAUUCAGCAAUAGUUAUGAAGAAGCGAGUAAUGGACAUGGAGGACUAACAAUGGCAUCAAUGGCAAAGAGUCUGCUACCUCUUCUAGACGCAGCAGAGAACGAAUCAGAAGACGGGUCUCAAGGACUACCAGAAUCAGAUGAAAAGAACUUUGGUUCGGACAGUGAGAAACUGGAGAUAAUCAAACAAGUUGAUAGUGUCUAUGAGAGGUUACAGGAGCUGGAAACAGAUGGAGAGUUUCUGAAAAACUGUAUGAGUUCAGCGAAGAAAGGUGACAAAGGAACAGAUAUUCUUAAAGAUAUAUUGCAACAUCUCCGCGAUCUCAGAACCAUUGAACUCACUAACACAAUUGAAAACCAGACGACACAGGAAGAGUGAUGUUUAUUCACAAGAAUUAUAUAUGAACUCUCUCUCACACCAUUGUUCAGACAGAUUUCAAGCCGGAAUCAAUGUCUUUGCACUGCUCAAUGGAGGAUCUGAGAAUUACAGAAAUUCUUAGAUGUCUCUUGUUUGUGUUUUCUUUUUUUGUUUGGUGUAACAAAAGGUUUCACACACACUAGUCAUUGAAUUUGUAUCUGUCAAUGUAAAUUCUGUGUUUCUUGUAGUUUAUGAGAGUUUUCAGUUGGAAAAUAAUUGGCACAUAAAACUGGUUCGUUCUGCAACUUUAGCUGGCCCAUUCCUUACCAAGAAAAUAAAUUCUGGCCCAUUUAGCCCAAACAUUGAAGGCCCAUUGGAAAGUCAGAACACGAGUUUCUUCGUUUGGUCUAAGUUUAAUAUCUUCUCAAGAGGAUCGAUCUUCUUCGUUUCCUUGAUUUCCAAGCUUUAGAUAUUCUCGAACCACCGUAUAAACAAACACCAAAUUGCUUUAAUUUGCAUAAACAAACGUCAUGAUUAUACUUUGGGCAGAUAAAGGAAUCAUUAGUCUCAUCUCAUGUGUUCUUUACCAAUUGUCACAUGCCCAUUUUACUUUUGCAUUCCUAAUAAAUAAGAUGUAAAUAAAUAAAUAAAACCUAGUAUAUAUCAUGACAAUAAUAGUUUCUUUGCGAUAAUGAUUGAUGGUAAUGAAUUGUAUAGUUUUAUUUUGAAGUAUAUAAUGAAGAAUGUAUAGUUUUACCAAACAAAAUCAUUGAAUCAUACCAAAUAUUUUUGCCAAAAUGAUUUAUAUAUUUUAUUUCUUAUGAACGCAUUUAUAUACCAACCGUAUAAUAAUAAAUAGGAAACACGGAAACGUUGACAAAAAAGAAAAUGACGAACAAUAAGAACCGUUGAUCUUGUUAGAAGCCGCAAUGAUAUGAACAAGAAGAAGAGAGUGACGGUAGUUUCGCUGUCAGUUUGAUUGGACAAAAGAAGAGUGUGGGUCAUUAUCGUCAUUUUACCAACCUUCACGUUCUCUUAAUUUCUAUUUUACCAUUAUUUAAUGAAGCUAGAUUAUUAGUGGUUUCUUUGUUUUUAUACAUCGGAUCGGUAGCAGAAUAAAUAAGCUUCUUUUUAACGAGUUAGUGAGGCCACUCUGGAGACAACCACACCUGCCAUUAUCUAUAUCAUUCUCCGUUACUUCGAUCCCACCGAUUCGAAUCAUUCUCUCUCUCUUUCUUGAUCUGAAAAUUGAGUCCCAAUUCCAGCAAAAUUAUCAAUCGAAUUUCUGAUCAACUGAGCGCGACGGUGGUGGCGACGGUGGUGGCGACGGUGACAGCGAUCGACGGUUAUGGCUUCGAAGACUAAGUAAGACUCUUUACUCAGUUUCACUCUGUUUUAGUUUUAUCCUAUUUUCUCUGGGAAAUUUUUUAGUAGAUCGUAGUAGAUCUGAUCCAAGUUACUAUUUUGAGAAAUUGUCAAUGAUCGAGUUUUGGAUCUACUAAAUUCAUUUCUACAUUUGUUUUGUCCUAAUUUUUUGCGGCAAUUUAUUUCUUUGUUCUGAGAUCGACUGUUGUUAUUGUCUUUUGUUGGAAACAGAACUAGUUUGUCCGAAACAACAACUACUACUACUCCUACCGGGAAAUCAUCUCCAGCAACUCCAAGAAUAGCAAAAAGAACAGUUAAUAAAUCCGAAACUAGUAAUAAUAAUUCUCCAUCUACUACUACUCCACAUUCACGUCUUUCUCUUGAUCGUUCUUCUCCAAAUUCCAAAUCUUCUGUUGAGAGACGAUCACCAAAGCUUCCAACUCCUCCUGAGGUAGUUAAAAGUUUUGCCAUUUGUGUUUAUCUUGGAGUUGCUUCGACUGAAAAUGUUUCUUUAAUAUCAAUUUUGUUUGCUGAUGAUUUGCAGAAAUCUCAAGCGCGAGUAGCAGCGGUGAAAGGAACAGAAUCACCGCAGACGACCACACGGUUGAGUCAGAUCAAGGAAGAUUUGAAGAAAGCUAAUGAGCGGAUAUCUUCAUUGGAGAAGGAUAAAGCUAAAGCACUUGAUGAACUCAAACAAGCUAAAAAAGAAGCUGAACAAGUGACUCUGAAGCUUGAUGAUGCUUUAAAAGCUCAGAAGCAUGUGGAGGAGAAUUCUGAGAUUGAAAAAUUUCAGGCUGUUGAGGCAGGGAUCGAGGCAGUUCAGAACAAUGAAGAAGAAUUGAAGAAAGAACUUGAGACUGUUAAGAACCAACAUGCUUCGGAUUCUGCUGCUCUUGUUGCGGUUAGACAGGAGCUUGAGAAAAUCAAUGAAGAAUUGGCUGCGGCUUUUGAUGCUAAGAGUAAGGCCUUGAGCCAAGCGGAGGAUGCUAGUAAGACGGCUGAGAUUCAUGCAGAGAAAGUUGACAUCUUGUCUUCGGAGUUAACGAGGUUGAAAGCUUUGCUUGAUUCAACCCGAGAGAAGA